UUAUAAAAUUGUUUGUUCUAGAUCUGUACCUGGUUCAUUCCAACCGAAUUAACUCUAGAUGUUUCUAUCAAACCAAGAAAAGGAGUUUGAAUUAACUAUCAACAUUUGGAUAUUAGCUAUAGAUUUUGUACAUAAAGUUGUUUCAUGCAUUUUACACGUAUCACGGAAAUCAUCUGAAAUUAUACAAACAGAGCAGUGCUAUUUCAAGGCAAAAGUCACAUUUAGUCUCACUUUAUUACUAUAUUAGUGCAACUUUAAGUUCUAGACUCUCUUUAAUUACCGAUCUUAACAAGUUAAAAAUAAAUAGGUACGCUGCAUGUUGUAGAGCAAACAAACACUAAAGUGUGAAAGCUCCUAAUAUAUUCAGACAACUGAGGUCUGAGGGCCUAAAUCUUAGGUCUGUCCUACUGUAACAAGCAAUGGAUCGAACAAGAACAUCACGUAUAUGAAAACUCUUCAUUUGGUUGCAUUACUUUCACAGUUUAAUUCAUUGAACCAAGCCGGAAUAAUAUUUUGAUGUGUAAACGUGUUUCCCGUGUAUCUUACUGGAUCCGCUCUUGGAACCAAGUCUAAUUACCCUCACAUCAAGCUAGCUGCCUAACGAAUUCUGAUCCAUCGCACUAUAUUAGGAACAGAGAUCGACCAGUUUCCUAUCUGGAAUACAAGUACUAAUCUCCCUGCUCUAAACGCGGUCUUAAUUAUCAUGUCUACAACAAAUUACAUACCAGCGGCCCAAAAAUUCAUCAACGAUACUCUAAGCUUCAGCUCUAAACCGCACGACCCUAUCAACCUUAUUGUACUUGUUUAUGUCUUCUCCAUCGCGGCUUUAGCGACCCUCCUCUACAUGCAUUAUUACCGCAAUAACAACAUAAGAACACUUGAUGUUCCGGAGCUUAAGGCAGAGGUGAUUGACAGCAUCCCCGUGAUCUUGCAUGAAUCAAUAGUUGGGAAUAGUAAUAUGGGAAAAUUUGAAAAAGAGGAGUGCACAAUAUGUUUGGGAAUGUUUGAAGAUGGUGACAAGGUUAAGGUACUGCCUGUUUGUCUGCAUGCUUAUCAUUCUCAUUGUGUUGAUGAGUGGCUCAAAACUAAGUCAAGUUGUCCUCUGUGCCGAUCUUCUCUCGAUUCUACUAGUUCUACAACUCAUGAUGAUGAAUAUGCAAUUGUAUAAUUUAUGAUAGAUCACAAGUUGAUCCAGCUUAAGCUCACUCAGAUAUUCUAAUUUUACUCACAAUUUGUACUCUAUUUCUUUUCUCCCAGUUAACCACACUCAUUGAUCUUCGUCCACUAAUUAUAACAGAUAUUUACAUACUGACCAUUAAUAUAUCGGAAUUCACAUGUUCAUGAAUCGGUAAAUUAUAAUUGAUAUUAACACAAUAUAUCUGAAUUAAAUUUUAGGAUACGUUACUCAAAAUUCUUUAAUAUAUAUUAAUAUUUAUAUAUUUGUAUUUAGCAAGUCACCCUUGAAUUUCCCAAUUAGCUUUAUUUGCUCUAAUUUUUUCACUAAUGAUUGAUAAUAUAAUACUAUAAAUUAUGCUUUCCUCUACCUAAAAUAUAAACACGUACUUGAAUUUUUGUGUCACACAUGAAAUUCCCAUCUAAUCAAUCUUCCUCUGCUCCGUUUACAACAAUAAAAAAAACAAAAUGGAUAUGUAUAUUACUUAAUUUAAAGACCAUAACAUUAAAGAAAAAUAGGAUCAUAUAUGAUCCUGUCGUAGAAUAUAAAAUAAAUUAAUAUUUAACUUUAAAAAUUAUGGAGCAUUUGAAAAGUAAUAAGAUAGAAAGCUGCCAAGAACGGGGAGUUUGGCCUAAAUCAUAUUGACAAUAGACUAAAGUAAUUCUAUAAAUUGGGUGAUAAAGAACUUUACAAAAUGGUUAAUAACCAGGUGAUAUGGUAUAAGGAAAAAAAUGUAUGUAUCAUUGAUUGUGGUAUUAACAUUGUCAAGAAACUUGUGUGAACAAUAUAGCCUACCCUCUUUCAAGAACUCCUUUAAUAUUAAGCAAAGAAGAAGAAGAAGCCGCAAUCACAUUUAGACGAUUAUGAUCUGUACUUGCGUUCUCAAUUAUAAUCUCCACCACUGAUUCUGACCCUUCAACCUGAUGAUCCUCAUCUUCACUACCAGCAUUACUACUACCACUCGUCUCAAUUAUCUUCCCAUCAUCUCCCACAAUAGAGGCUCUGCAAAUCGGACACGUGGAAUGCGAAUGCAGCCACAUAUCAAUGCACUCCACGUGGAAUGCAUGUCCGCAUUUCGGUAGCUUCCUCCCCACUUCCCGUUCUUCGAAAACAGUUAAGCAAAUCACGCAUUCCAGCCCAUGUUUAUCUUCUCUCGACACGAAUAGCGGUAUCGAAGAAAUGACGGAGGGGUCGAGGCCUUUUGCGGGAGUGGGAUCGGACACCGUGGUGUCGAUCGUGAACGUGUGGAAAUGAUGGAAACGGGAGCCUAGUACACCGGGUAUGGACGAGGACGAGGUCCUUCGAGUGGUGUGAUUGUACCGGGCCUGGCCUAGAAACCACUUGGCAUAAACAUGAAGUAAUAAAACAAAUAGGAUGACGAGAAGUAAUGAGAUUAUAGCGGCUAGCAUGAUGUUCCCGUCUAGAGAAAGGACGUUGUGUAUAAAAUGUGUGAGUGGAUUGUUUGAGGUUUGGUUGAGUGGUGGUGGUGAUGGAAGAGAAGUGACCAUUUUAUGAUGUUUUUUGGUGACAGUGAUGUUGGGUUUAUUACAAAAGAGCUGUCUGAAGAUGGUGAGAUGAACAUGAAGAUGAAGUGGUGAUACGAGAAGAGGAGUACGUUGUGUUGUGGCAACGUUUACGUGAAUAUAAAGUCGUGGAAAUGGGAUCUGGAUUAGAUUAGGGUCUAGUGUGCCCUGCUUUGCUCCACAUUGCGUGUGUUUGUUGCCUCAUUUAUGGCUAAUUUUAUUAACUUAUUUCGUGAUUGUGUAUUAUAAUAAGUUGGAAUUAAAAUUAUGAGAGCACGAUUGGAUAGCUCCAAUGGUGGAUUUAUCCUCUGUUGUUCCGGGAGACUCGGGUUCGGAAUUAAAAUUAUGAGAGCACGAUUCGAUAGUCCAAAUGGUGGGUUUAUCCUCUGUUGUCCCGGGAGAUCCGGGUUCGACUCUAGCUCAUCUGAAAAGUAUUUGAGAAGAUACUAAUUUGUAAGAAAUAUAAACUUGCACUAUCAAAAUAUAAAAUAAAAUUAUGAGAUGAAAAGGGAGAAGGGUCAACAGAGAUCCCCAUUAUCCAAGGAGCCAAGUACGUCUCAGGAAUUGUGUGUGUGUGGGUGACGCUGAAAUGAAGGUCUCGUGAAGGCGACGGCAGCAGCAACUAUAUUACUAGUUUAAUACUCCUAUUAUUAUGAGUUUGAGAGGAGAAUGGUUUAUUGUAUUACAGUUUAUUACUCUAUUAGUAUAUGUGGGAGUAAUAUUUUAGUGUGAGCAGAUCCCUAUGGUUUUUCUAUUUAUUUUGUUGCUAAGUGAUCCCAAGGGCAUUCAUUAUUCACAACCAGGCCCAGGGGCACAUAUAUUUUAUUCUGAAUGUACAAGUACCCCUUACAUUAAAUUCAUAUACACAAAACCAUACGCUUGUCUGGUAAUCUGGUAUGGUGUACCACUGACCCUCGAUGUCUUUUUGAUUUGUUCACUUCAGGGGACCCAUGUGACUUCUAGACAUCCAGAGAAAUACUUGUAGAGUUGCACUUGAUUCACACAACAAAUAUCACAAUUUCGGGGGAGAAUUUUUGGACACAACUAUUUGAUUUGGUUAGAAAGGUAGUUUACUCGUGCAUAUUUUAAUUGAGCGGAUACGGUAUGACAAUUUGAGUCGAACUAACAAUUUAGAUUAAAGUAUAAAAUAUGGAGUAGUAGUUGGAAAAAGUUGAGUCAAGAGUCGUCCCCAUAAUGCUGCAUGUUUUAGGAGGAAGGUCCGGGGCUCGUGACUUGUAAGUUGUGUCUGACCCGGUUGAAAGGGAAGCCUAACCUAAAUCAAUCUCUAUGUAUAGGCACGCACCCACCUAACUAAGCGGCACACUUCCAUAAAUUUCAGAGAGCUUACAGGCACAGACAAAGACUAUACUGGGUCACACUCUAGAAAUAUCUCCCGUUUGACUGUCGUACCUAUCUCCAUCACUCUGCUGCUACUGUUUACAAACAUUUUAGACUUUGUUUUGUCACCAUAUGAUUUCACACUACACUUUUCAGUUUUCAUACUGUUGUAUUAUUGGAGUAUCACAUAAGACUAACAUUAACAUGGACAUAUACAUAGUUGGUGCUGUGUGUAUAGUGUGUAUGUGUAUCUUUGUAUAUAUCAACAGUAUUUUCUUAGUGCAAGUAGUCUGUGAAAUUGUUACAGCAUUUUUAGAAUAUGAGAAUUGCCUCCGCAUUGUAAGUAUGUUAUUUACAGUCGGGUUGAGUGUUUCCUCGAAGAUAUCAAUCCAUGAGCUUGUAUCUUUUCUCUUGGACGCCUGUUACUCCCAUUUGUAUUUCUAUUAUGGUAUGAAGGGGCACCUGAAAUUUUAACAGUCACAAGUCACAAUACUUUAGUUUUUAUAGAGACUAAAUAUAUUACAUAAGUUAAACUACUGCCUUUUUUCAUUUUCCGGCUACGUGGAAUCGCGACCCCUGUCAAGUUACCAACUUAACAGCUCUCCUAAAACCUUUUACUAGAGUUUUUAGGAUGAUGACUCGGGAUUAUAUAUUAUAUCUUAACUAGUACGGAGCAAGCAAACACAACCUUUGCAACAUAUUAAAGAUUUCACAAACAUAACCACAAGAAAGCACCACAUCAUCAACCACGCGGUAAAAGUAAAUUCACCAACUGAGGAAUGAACUAUUAGCAUCCUGUAUAGUCCUAUGUUUCAUGUAAUUAGCUUGAGCUGGAUAAGGUAAACUUGAUGUUCACAAGAAGAAAACCGUACAUAACCUACUGGUGGUUUUAUAGACUAAUCUAAGUCAGAAGCAAUAACUUAUUUUCUCAUAGACGUAGUAGUAACUCUCGAAGGAAGUAAUUAUUGACAACAGAAUUACCUCUAUGUGCGGAAUUUCUUUUAGAGGCCUAUCAGCAAAAUAUGCAUAUAAUGCUCUUAGAACAGCCUGCAGAAAAGAUGUUGCUACUUUAUGCCCAGUUAAAUUAAAAGUUUUAAGGGAAAGGGAGGGGAAGAAGCAAUCAAGUCUGAUUGAGUUGUAUAACCUGGUGAGAUACCACUACAACAGGUGCUCGCUGCCGUUCAAGCUCGAUGAUUACAGGCUCUAGCCUGCAGAAGUUGGAAAAGUAAUUACACUGAAUUCGUCAACCACAAAAUUGCCUAUUUUCAGGUUGCCUUAUUAAAGGUGGGACUGCAAACCUCUGAAUAACAUCAAGAUAAGACUCUCCACGAGGAUACCGAUAUCUCAGCUUGUCCUUUUUACGGGACCUUCAAUAUAAAGCAGAAAUAAGUAUCAUAUUGAUAAGCACAUAGUUUACAGAACUGACAAAUUAGCAUAUAACACAGCACAUAAAUCAAGUCAAAACAAAUUGUCAAAUUGUUCAUUUAAAAAAAAAUAAAAAUACAAACUCAGCAAUCUCCAAGUACCAUCCAUCACUACCAGAUAACACAUUAAACUAUAUAUAUAAGCAUCUGAUCAAAAUGGAAACCAAUUUGUGUUGUAAAAACUGGCGAUUGGAUGCAAAUCACUACAAUGAAAUGAACACAAGUCACCACUUACACAAUUACACUCACACAAAUCACCACUGGUUCGUAUCCAAAUCACCAAUUUCACUAAUGCAUAUCGCUGGUUUUCAGUUUUCAUUGAAGUGGAAGUCCAUAAACAUUGUACUGUUUAUAUACAUUAUUGCCAAAUGGGCAGUAAUAUUCUGUCUCAGUUAUCUAAGAUACGACGAUGGAAAGCAUGCUUCACACACUUGCUUUGUAAAAUGCAUAAACAAACUAGAAAAUUCUAGUUCAGCCAGAAAAUUAAGAAGCAUACUCGUAUUCCUCAGGCAUAUUUUUCUUUAUUUCUUCAUAUGACAUCCCAUCACAAACACCAGCAUUUAUUUCAUCAAGUGCUCUCCAUUGUAUCUGCAAAGAAACUGGAAGUACUAAACAUACCACCCUAACUAAAAGCAAAAAAUUGUGGAUAAUGGAUAUAAACUUCAAUAACAGCACUACGUUUUGAAACUAGAAGAUUCCAACUAUGGAAAGCGCUUAGUAAAUUAAAUUAUAAAUAUUCGAUAUGACAACACUUUUGUACUGUGUCUAACCUUGGGAAAUCCAACAAUUGGAUUUGCUGUUAAAAUUGUUCUCUGUAAUGUGCUCGUCCAUAUCUAGGCAUUUCAAAACAGCUAUUCUCAGUGCUUAAUAGUUCUUUAAUAAUUAAACUUUCCAUCAAGGAUACAGUCAUAUUAUACAGAUGAACUUAAUAGAUAAUCAAUGCGUGAAAUACACAUGGCUUACAGAAGCUGCCCGUUCAUUUUUUAGUCUCUUCUCAACAAAGUUAGCAAGUUUCUUUGCAUAAAUCUCCCCAGUAUCACUGCCAAAAAAUCAUACACCAACAACAAGUGACUAUCUGAAACAGCAACGAUUUUCGUCACAACACAUGUGAAUCUGGAAACUUAAAUACUAGGCACUCACGGAAUACAUCUAAGUACAUAGCCAACAGCUACACACAAACGGAAUCAAAACCCAUUUUAAGCAACAACUUGAGUGAUAUUUCAGCAUCAACAGUAACACACGGACAACCACAUCUAUAUAUAUAGAUUAUAUAGUGUCAAACAGACUGUUGAUUAACCAGAUUCCAAGUCGAGUGCAGGUAGCCUUGACUCAACCCGUUAACCAUACCAAACAUUUCCGGUUGUUUGAGCUUGUCUAGUUAACAAGCUCGAAUUAGGCUAAUCAUGUAUUACCAAGUCAAGAUAGAGACAUCACCGAUAACUCAAUCCAAAUUACAGCCCUACAAAACUUGUACCUAUAAUUUUGAUAUAAACACCUCUUUAACCUGCAUAUCAUACAUAGCACUUGAAAUCUUAAGGAUCUGGCAUGUCCUAUAUAGAAAAAAAAACAUAUACUCCGUAUAUCACAGAUGGACAGAUACCAUCUCACAGGAAAAAAUAAAAGAGCUUCAAACUGAUAAACCAAGUCGGGAAAUAAAAGUUUUCAGUAGAGAAAACCUUAUAACAGUGUCUCCCCCAAUUCUUCCUCUAACAUUAUCUUGACUCUGUCCAUGCCUAGUUAGCAAAAUUGGACGAGGUGUCAGAUGUGUAUUCACCUAACAGUUCAAAAGUAAAGUUUGUAAUCAGCAAGCAAUGUGCAAAAGGAGAAAACUUUAAGUUGUUUAAACUUAAAAUUACUUUCUUUAUUAUGGACAACCAACAGUGGAAGGAUUUUAAGUUAAUUACUAACUCCAGNGGUGAUGUUAGUCCUCGAUUCGACCAAAUUAACAGUAAUAGUAGAAGUGAAGAGAAAUGUUGAAUGAAUUACCAGAAAGAAAACAAUCCUCCCAGGAAGAUAUCCGCUAAUAUUGUUUACCUGGACAAAAAGAGGAACAAUAAAUAAGAUCUUCAUCAAGUAAUUCAAUGACAAUGCUCAUCAUUAAGCUCAAGAUAACACAAAUACUUUAUAUAGGGGGAGGGGGGGAUCUAGAGUUAACUUUAUGAACUUUUCGGUUAACCAAACCAAAUAACAUAUUUUGAUUGUUUACUAAUCCAGCCAUUCAGAUGUGAAGGUUACGCACAAAUACAUAAUUUUAUUAUAUGAAGUACCAACUCGUGUAGUGAUAGUUUUAUAACAAGUAAAAACAACAGAUAUAUAGUAAACAUUAAAUAAAACUAUAUCCAGGCCAGUACUUUAUGUAUAAUAUUAACAUUCUACGUUGUAUCAUAUAAAAUUCAAUCAAAGAAAGUAUUUAAGUGCUAACUAUUGGAGAAGUAUUCUAGAGGGAACUUUAGAAUCUCCAUGCCCAUGUAUAAAUGUAAAAACAAAGUUAGGGGUGUGUCCUUUUCAGUCGCAAUCACUACUAGCGUAAUUUUAAGAGGUGUAACGGUGUCCGUUUACACUUACACCAUCAACGAUGCCAGAUUAUGUAGGAUGCCAACCCAGUUUUAAUAUUUAAUCUACAAGCUACAGCAGGAUAAAAUUGAUUAAAUAUAGAGUUACAGUAAAGUAUCUAACAAAAAACUAGCUGAAAGUGAAAAUAUACUAGUUCUCAUUACUUGUAUUUGGCCACCCUGGCCUUUGGCCAUAUCGAUCACUUUGAUAUAAGAUCCUUCGUCAACUGGCUCAUAAACCUAAUAGAUACAUGAAUAAGAUAUGUUAAAGUAUCCACAUGAAACCACUAUGAGCAAGAGUAGUCAUUAAUUAUGUUUGUAAGAUACUUUUUCAUAGUUAUCCAGUCGAGUUCUGAAGUCUUGAUAUCCUUUUUCAAAGUCAGCCCUGUAGAAUAAUACCAGUUAAUAUAAAUCUGUUUCUGCAAUAGACUAUUAAUAAUAAGGAAACGAAAUGUUAAAAGGAAAUGAUCAUACUCUUCAGCAUAAUCAGGACUUUGUUGAAUCUUGAGGCGUAUGUUUCUUUCAAUGAUUUGUCGAUCUGUGCAUAUUGUCUCCAAAAAUAUAAUCUGUAAACGAAAACAGUCAGAUUCACUGUUAAAUUAACCACACAUAUGGCAUUAUGCCAGUUUAGAGAAUAUGAUGUAGCAAUGUAAUCUAUCUGUCAUUAGUCCAAUACAAAGUUUAGCAGUGUAAUAUUAAUAAAUGAUUAAAAGACUACUGACUGAGUGAUUCAGAUUUACCUAUUAAUCUUUGGUAAAAAAUAAAAAAAAUAGCUCAAAGAAGGAAAAAACAUGGAAUAUUCUAUAUGGAGUAAAUCUAAAUCUAAAGUUUCUGCAUUAAGGCCACAUCUAAUAUGAUGAAAUUUGCAAAAUAAUUUUUACACCAUGUCUCGAAGAAAAUUAUUAUGUAUGCAAGCUAAGGUUUUUCCCCAUUACCUACAUGAUAAUGGGAAUACUUUAGCAUGGACACAGUGUCGCAUAAUAUUAAGGGGGCUCUGCAACACAUUAUCAAUAUAAGUAUACAGUUUCUCCAAGGUAUAUAACGAUGGGCGAUUAAUCCUGUAUAAUAUAUUAAUAUUAUAUCUGACAUCAGUCACUUGAAAUUUUUAAGCAUAACCUAGGGGUCAAAUUCAAGACAAAUUAAGCAUCAUACCUUGCAAUUUCCUUCAGCCAUUUUCAUAAGCAUAUUUCUUCGUCGACUUGUACUGUUUGUGGCAUCAAAUAUUCCUACCUACACGCAGUCAAUAUAUUCUUUAGUGAAAGCAUUAAGGAGACCUCCUAACAGUAACUUGUAAUAAGAACUUACUUGGCCACCGCCUUCCUGCAUCCAAGCUAUCAUAUCUUCCAUUGCCAAGGCUGCUACCUAGUAGCAUGUGAUGUAUUAAAACUAUGUGCAAAGAAAAAGGUUAAUAUUGUGUUUACAGUAACAUGAAACAUGAGUUUUAAGACAAAAGCGGGCUAAAGUGAGAUCAUAUUAUAGAAAGGUUGCAACAGAAAGACCACAACAUAAAAAUUGGUCACUGGUCAGGGAGACAGGGACAAUAUAAUGUACUAUGUAUAUUAGGUUAUGUAUAGGUGCUACACUUCUUUUAUAGACUAUCUGCUAUAGGUUGUCAUCUUGGACUAGCGGGAAAGAGAAUCCGAAUUUCAGCUGCCAAUAUGUUGCAUAUAUUAUAAAGAAAUUCAGCCUAAUAACUUGUAUAUUUCCCUUCAGUGACUUAUUUAUUGUUUCAAAACAUCCAGAGUUUCCUUGUCUGCAUUUAAAAUUUUUAAAUACGUCUUCAAUGAUUUCCUGUUAUCCACUGAUUUUGGAUUAGUAUUGCUACCAUUCUCUCAUAAACUUCCAGUAAUCCAAAAAUAAUUUGCGACUAUGCAAUGAAAUAAGAAAAAGAGUCACAAUUACCUGCCAACACAAUCAACUCUCUGAUCAACACCGCUAUGCAACAAGCAAAUUAAUUUACAAGAUAUUUAAAUACUUAAAUCAGAAACUCACCUCAUUUCGUGCCUCCAUGCCUUCUGGAUUGUCAGCUCGGAAGAAGUCAGCACUCUGCCGAUAUUAUUAGGAUCCAUAAUCAACCAAAUAUAAAGAAAGUAACUAAUAGAAUGAUAUAUAUUAGGAGCAACAAGCCACAUAUAAGACAGUAGAUAGUUUCCACAUAAGAGUCCUAGCCAGAUAUAUUUUUAAGGGUCGUUCCCCCCGAUUUGUAAAAACAUCAACAUUAACAAAAAAUCUGUUCACAUAAAAAAUUACUCUAUUACGUAACAAGCAAUCACAUGGAAUCAUGUGCACCCAUGAAACUGACUGAAUCAUUGUUGGUGAACUCAAGUGUUGACAUGGUCUGUUAUGUGAGACAUGCACAAAGAACAGUUAAGGCAAAGAGAGGCACACUAUUUGGUAAGCACUAGAAACUACUAUGUGGUGAUCUGCAAAGCUUAGCCGAGUAGAUACCCCUCACCCUUUAUAACAAGAGGCCGAUCAUUUAAGUCUCAAUGGAGAUAUGUGCGUUAGACAAGUGUUUCGUCCUUGUAAUCUGGUUUGCAAUUAAAAAUUAGGGGUGUUCUUCUGUAAUAUGUGUAUUCAACUAAUGUUCAUGUUGUGUAUACCAACGCGCUGCUUAGAUCGAUAUAUGUCUGAUUACUUGAUGAUUGUUCUUUGUUCAAAUCCAUUUACUGUAUGCUUCCAAGGGCACUUACUCAAGUGUUUGUCAGUCACUUAGUUGGGCACUAAAAGGUUGUCCAGAAGCUGCUGGCGUAGGCAGGCACCAUGACCCUUCGUCAGGGAAUCUUGCCAUUAAAAUUGCAGUGUGAGCAUGAGAACAAGGUGAAGGACUGAAGGUUAGUGGCCACUCUUGUUGAUGAAUGGGCCGACUGGUGGAGGGUAUCAGUGAAGGGGAAUUGCACAGUUCAGAUCAACCACCCAGGGGCUAAAAUUUGAGGGUAAGAACAGGUCUGUGAGUUUGCUGAGUUGUUCUGUACAUAAGUAUAUCAGAAUACAAAUUCCAUGCAUACCGUACCAUACUAAAGAAGUGUCAACAUGUCAUCAGACUUUAUUAAUGUCUUUUUUUUUAGUACUUCUUCCGACAUCUAUUUCUUCAAAAUCAAGCGACAAUUUAUGCUACAAUCUCUACUUAACAUGUCAAAGAAUGAGGACCCUGACAGGGAACUGAUUGUAAAGAAUAACCAGAGCAUUAGACUUCUAGAACACUGUUCAAACUUGAGGGCUAAUUUCUUAAGUAGUUUCAUAAGUCAAUGGUACCUGAUUAGCUCCGUGCUUGAGUCUUCGAUACUGUUACAACAAAACACCAGUUACACAUUUACAUCGUUUAAUUCGGUUUCAAAGGAGUGUCGGAAUGAUAAAUAAUUGGAUAAGAUGGUCAGUCACCUUUCCCACAUUGAAGUGUUUCGUGUCGUGACCCAACCAUCGAAGAUACCUUGUAAGCUUAGCCGCAGUAAAAGUCUUACCCCGAGCUGGCAAACCAACCUGACAUUCAAAGAUCAGACAGAUAGGAAAGAGCCAUGUGAGUAUGUAUGAUUCAGUGAAUUCAUAUAUUAUUUUAUUAACACAAGAGUUCUUGCAAAAAGCCUAAACAAAAACUUGACACACCAAAAUGGUAGCAUAAUAGAUAUUGACCUGAAUACAGGUUGUUUAUGCACCUGACCUCAACUCAUCCCUCUAAACAAAUCUAUGCUUUAUUAGAACCAAAUAUGCAACAAGGCUCUAAGCAAAAUUUCUACAAAAGAAACACCAAAUGAACAUGAUACAUGUAUAUCACUGUCUAAGAACAUAUAAGCACAAAAUGAAUGAUAGGAACUAUCAUCAAAAUCAAACAACCAGCUAUACUUAUAUUUCAGUGCAAAAAAACCCUGGACCGUUCCAUUAGAAAAUAGAAACUAAUGAGUUGACUGUAAUGUGAUUUCACAUGCACGAAGGUCCAACAGGUAUCAAAUUGCUUUCAGAAUUUUAUCUACAAUUCAGAACAACCAAAACAUGGGAAACACAUCAUAAGUAUCUCAACAAUGCACACCACGUGACAUUGUGUGUGUGUGUGUGUGUACAUAUUCGAUGGAAAGAAGCAACUUAAAAAAGCUUUGCCGACCUAAAUCUUGAGUUCAUUAAGAACAGUGAGUUGGCACCUGUGAUUUUAAAAAAAAUUAAGUCUAAACAUUUGGUAAGACAUUCGAAAAAAUAUUUCCUUAGAUAACCAGUGACGUAAUUGCUAUUACGAGUAGUGGCAUACAUCUUCUGUUCCUACUAUAUCCAUAUCUUAAAAGGCAACACUGUUUAACAAGCAAAAGUUAGAUAUUGGUUAUGUAAUUUUUCAUAAUAUAAGUAUGUACACUUCCACAAUUUGUCACCAAGAAUUUUCAAUGUUCCAACCCAUAAAACAAUUAUAAAGUAAGAAAGAACUCAUCAGGGAAGUACCAGAACAAUAGCUAAAUGUCCAUCCUCCUUUGGUCCAAGCAUUUGAUCAGCUACAGCUGCAGCAGCAACAGCACCUGCUGCUGCUGGCAUUGGAUUCUAAAACCACAAUAUUAAUCAAGACUAAAAACUAUGAGACUAGACGUUAACUUGCAUAUUAGCAUUAGCUCAAUAAAAAAGAGGUGUUUUUACAAACCUUGGGAUCUGAAUCAGAUUUAUGAUCAAUAGGAAAAUUUGACAAGCUAGGCAAUUUAGCUAAUCUUGGAGAUCCAACACCCCUAUCCACAAAAAGUCCCCUGUGACUGUCUUGCUUUUGCAUAGCUGAAACCAUACCAAUAGACUUUGUUUCAACCAUUCCAGAUGCUGAAAAAGUCUUAGCAGGAUCUGGCACAGUGACUUCCAACCCCUACUCAAGCAUUAGUUGAACAACAUUUAGAUGGAGAUGCAUUCAAUGUAUAUAGAUGUAUAAAGACAAGGCAUGUACUCUGUUUACAGAUAAACAGAACUUUGAAAAGCAUACUAUCUGUUGGUAAUGAUUAGGAUCUCCUAUUUGUAUCAUAUGACUGAUGGGCAUAUCAUAAUUGAAUAUAUAUAUAUAUGCAGGAUGCAUUGACAAGAAAGUCACUCCAUUUCACUUUAUGUUUUACACCGUGAUAGGUAUAAGACGUCAACAUCUAACAAGAGAGAACAAACCAAUAUCUCUCUGGCUUACAUAGCCUAUAAUUUCUAAAGGUUUAAGAUUUAACUUUUGAGUAUGCUUAACUCAAUAGCAAAAUUUUCUUUCACUUUAUAUGUACUAUAUUAUUAAAGCGGAACCCAGGAUAAUGCAUCCAUUGGUAUUAGGGGCCUAACAAGCUUUACAAUUAAAUAUUUUUAUAUUAACCUGCUUAUCUAUUGUACAUGGGCCUACUACUGUCAGCCUUUUACGUUCUAUAACAUAUUUAAAUUCUAGUUGUAACAGAAUUCUACUAAUUAUGUCCUUACAAAAAAAAAAGAAUUCUACUAAUUAUGUCGAAUUUCUAGCUCAAAUAAUUUUCACCUAUUAUUCAUCACCCAGAUCUUGAACAAAUUAUAUCCCAAAUAUAAUUAUCAAGUUCCACAAUUUUUAAAAUAUAACAUUCAAAAGAAAUAUACAAAAAAAAAUAUAGUGAUAAAGAAGAGUAAUAUUUAUAUACUAUUUUGUUCAAUUUACUAAAAUAUUGAGCGAAACUUGGGCUGCACACAGGUUAUGAGCUAGUAUCAUAUUAUAAGUCAACAUAAAGAAGACAAAAAAUUAGAGAUGCGGAACCAACACGACCAAGACAACCUUUAUAUUAGCGGGUCGAUCAGUAACACCACCAACCUUGGAGAAAUGUGAUGCACUUUCUAAUCCAUCAGUCUUGCCAGCUAUUCCAAACCUUGGGGUUUCCGUCAUAUUAGCUGCAUAAACCCUUGAAUUCGCAGUUUCUGGAGUUGGGACCUCGUAAUGUUCAAGAUCAAGAUCCAAACUUGCUGAAGAGCAAUUCUGUGUGAAAUGAUAGUAGUUAAUUCCAUCUGGAUUAGAGUAUAUAAAUAUAUGUAUGUAUGUAUAUGUAUGUAUAUAUGUAUAUACAUACACAUAUAUAACUUUAUUUUAUCCGAUAGCAGUAAAAAGGUUUAAACGGCAUAUCAAAUUAAUUCAUAUGAUGACAAAUUAAAAACAAUAUCAUAAUGCCAUAUAAUAUAAAGCAUGAAACUACAGGAAACUAAAUAAAAUCAGAAUAUCAUGUCCUCUACAACUCAGCUUUAUUUAGCAAUCAGAAAUAAUUCAAAUCUAAUGAAGAAAUGAUACAGUGCUUGAUAUUAAUAUCCUAGAAUUGGCAAUAAGUAAUACUCUAUAAGGGAAAAUAAUCAUAUUUGAUGUCUACUUCCUAAUACUUAUUUACUACCAUAGUUUAUAAAGAAACAACUCCGUUAUAACUCUAUACUAUAAAUGUAAUGUAUUACUAAUAAUAUACUUCCGUAACUAAACUACCUAACAUAUUCUAUAUUACAAACAAAUUUAUUUGUAAAUAAUAUGUAAUCCCUUUCAUAAAUAAUAAGAGAUAGAUACCAUCACUAUUUUGUGCAUAUACCAUCAUCAUCUAUGCUCCUACUGAAAUAAUAGGCCUCCUGCCACCAUCAUUCACCUGCCAUCACCACUUGUCGCCAUUAUCGAUCACUCAACUCCCCUACUUACCUCCUCUCAUCACAUUCUACCACCACCGACCCGCUAUCAUCACCAUUGACCAUCAACAAUCAACCAACAGUUUCGAUAAGUAUAUUUCCUAAUUUUCGAAACAAUAAAAACUGAUGUUUUUUUAAAUAUAAGAUAUUGAUCCAUAGUGUAUAAACGAGUUUGUGUAGUUAUAAACAGUGAUCAAAUAUUAGUCUGGGGCUAGGUUCUAGCCUGGACUGAUUUGGUAUCUAGUGAAGUACGACCACACACACACACACACACACACAUAAGUUAGCUUCCAAGUCGAGUGUUUCUAUACAAACUUUUGCAAUACUUGUGAUUAAUGAAAUGUGAAUCAUAAAUUGAUUUGAGAAAUUAUGUAUUCUCUUCAUGAGUAGUUCAUUCUUUUAAGAUAUGUAACUCAAAAUAGUUCACAAAUUUCUAACCCUAAACCUCGUUGCACUACACAUAGAGUCAAAAUCCAGAAUUAAAAUUUUCAAAAACCUGCACUAGAGUUGCCAGAGGAAACUCAAAUGAUCCCACAAGCCUCAUUAAAGAGAAUAAAGGGAUCUCAUUUUUAAACAGACAAGUUCUGGCCCGAGGACGGGACCAGAACCAUUAAUUUAGGUUGGACACGCCAUAAUCUAUUAACAAUUAUGACAUGCAAAAAGUAUAACAGUUAUAAGCUAAUCAGACACAUGCACAACAUGUUCACAUGUCCCAGAUUAAGCUAAAGCAUAGAUUCAGAAAUUAAGAAAACAUAAAAUUCAUCUGAAGAUUUUAUUACAAGAAAACCACAUCCUUUAUAAAAAUUAAAAGAAAAUGAUGGUAAUAAAGAUUUAAAAUAGGAUAUUAAAAAAAGAGAAAAAGAUACCAUAAUCGAAAGCAAAUACAAAAAAUGAUAAGGAAUUGGGAUCAAAAUUUUACCUCGACACCUAAUUGUGGGGCCGGAUUGAUACUAAUAUCAGGAAUCCCACGAACAGUGGAAGGCCUCAAAUUUUCCCUGUAUGCUCUCCAACUUGCCGCAAGGUCAAAUGGCGAAACUCUGUCAGCUUUUAUCAACACCUUAUACUCAAGCACCUCCUCCUCAUUGAGCUUAAACAGUGCCAGCCUUGCAUCCCCUUGCAACGUACCCCUAGUUAACAGCCUGUCAGCACCAUCCUCCACUACACACGGCGUACUACUAUACUUGGGCUUCAAUAGAAACUUAAAGUCCAAAGUUUCUACAAUCACACACCAAACACAUUACAUUAAAGUCCUACUUACACAACCACAACAAACAAGCAUCUAGGUUGGCCUACCAUGAUUCGGAGGCACAACAAAACUCAAUUCCCACGUCGAGGUUGACUCACGCUGCAUUGACAGCUAUACACAUACAAAAACACAUUCAACUAAACAUACAACUACAAUAACCACAAUUAGCAUACACAACCAAGUGUGGCAAGUACGUAAAUAAACAUAUAAACAUACAGCUUUUGUGGUAUCCCAAGAGCCAACUAGAGGAACGGAGCCAUAGACAUGUGGAAUAAGGUCAUGUUUGACUUUAUAAUUCUCCAUUUUGAGAGAAAUAUAGAGCUGACCACCUUCUCGAUCAUCUCCUUGAUCACAGUCGAGUAAAGUAUUGUCUGAAUUGGUUGAUGACCCAGUUCCCAUUUUUGAGUUUCUCGAAUACUGAAUGUACUGAACAGGGUUAUGUAUGAAAAAGAAGGAAUGCACGCAAGGUGUUUGAUGAAGUGUCUGGAUGAAGAUAUGGUGAUAAGAAUAAGGGAGGGAGUGAAAUGGGGGAAUAUGGGGAGAACGAAUAAGGAAUAAUGCCUGCCAAGUUUAUUACAACCCCUCUUACUGGAUAAUAUGGUGGGCCUUAGCCCCAUCCUAGUUUUCAUUUGUGCUAUUCAUGUUAACUUUUGUUUCACUUUCUAAAUCCUUCUUCAUUUUGUAUGAGUUCUUAAUUAUGGAAGGUUUUCGAGUAAAGUACAGUUUAUGGCAGUUUUGAAAGAUGGUCUUUGGGAAAAUAUUCUCAGAUUUUUUAAAACACUAUAUUGUGUACUGAUUUUUAUUUUUAUUCAAAUUUAACAUAAAAUUGUGUUUUAAACCGAAAAUUCAACUUGAAUUAGUGUUUUAAGCGAAACCCAACUUAAGGAUAGAUCAUGUUAAUUUUCGUUCUUAAUUUUUAAAUGGGAUGACAGGAAUUAAAAUACCAUUUUAGUAAAAUAUAUUAAUAUUUGGGGUAUUUUUCAGAAUGUGAAUUAAUGCAAUUGGUUCUCAAAAUUGUAAGAUAAAGAACAAACACCUAUAAUAAUUAUUAUUAUUUAUUUCAUCAUCUCUUUCAUUAAUUAACAUUUUCUAUAUUAAAAUAUUCCGCUCUUUUCUUAAUAUUUUCGAGGAUGAAUUUUUUCCUUUACAUCCCACUAUUUUGUCCUCAUUUUCUUUUUUUUAUAUCAUAUUUCUUCAUUAUUUUUUUAUAUUCGUGCACAACAUAACAGUUAAUAGACCAUCAGGACAUGGAGAGUUUAAUACACCUGAUCACACGCUGCAAAUGCAACAGACGAGAAAAUAGAACUUAAAAAAUGUCAAAUAUACUCUCACUUAUUAUUAAUUACAAAAUAUCAUUAAUUAAUAUAUUUAUUAUCCUCAAAAUAUUACAAUUAUAACAUUAAAAUUUAAUGAAUUUCGGGUCUAGUUUAUUUGACACAAGUCAGUUGCUGUGUCCAUUGGCUUUUGGUAUCAACUUGUUUAUAGUAUUUUCGCAGGUUUCUUUUACAAGUCAGCAAAGAAAUGGUACUUGUGAAAUCUCAUUAAUCAAGCUCACCACUGAUAUAUAUGCCUUAGCUUGCAGGGACAUAGCAAGGUUCUCGCAUAGGGAGGUCCUGAUAUUAGCAAAGCAGCUCUUCCCUUUGCUUGCAUUAUUCAGGAGUGCCUUAAUGCGAACUUAAGCUUCUACUAAGUAUUAACAGAUGACACUCAUCUAAAAUUGUGCCAGAUUCAUGUACAUACAAGCUGCAUCCCUAGUGUGCUGGUUGUCACGGCAUUAAUUUAAUUUGUUGCUAACUUUUUUGAUGACUUAUUCCUAUCUUCUUCAGUUCUUCAAAAGCUUUCAAAGUAUCGGUAUUGAAACCACCUGCAAACUGGAACUUACUCUCGUUAAUAUCUAUUAUGUUGAAGAGACAGAGAUGUUUAUGUCCAGAGAGUCCAUAGUAUACCUGGUGCACCCGAAAGGCAAAUCUAACGCCUUGUAUCAAGAAAUCCCCGUCUUGUGAAGAGGGCUCGCUGCUCUGCAGUUGUCUGGCUACUCUUUUCAUAUAUUCCUUUGCUAACACAAGGGAGCUUAACUUCAUCUGUGUCAUGGUAAACAAAGGCAUUUCAUCAAUUUUAGCUUCUACUUAAGUAUGGGAGUGUCAUGCAUAGUGUUACAUAAGAAGUGAGAACAAGUCAGUGUAAAUUUAUAUCUCUAAUUUUCAUUGCAGCGACUUCACCCAUUAGGCCAUUAGAUCCAGAACUCAUGCCAAUGCGUCUAGUUUUUAGUUGCCUAAAUGUAAGAUAUACAUUGCCAUAAUGCUCAAUUAUAAAUAUCAUCAAGAAAUAGACUCUAUGAAUGUACUUAUGUUGCUAAUAAGAAGACCAUUGGGUGUGUCUAGUAGAAUUGUAGAGAGAAAGUUUAGAUAGGGACGACUGAGCAGAAUGAUAGAGUAUAGUCCAAUAGAGACCUCUGUGUAAUAUGUCUAGCCUCGGGUAUUAAGGGCGGAUCUUAGAAGGGGCAUGGAGAACACGAGUCCUCGCCAAAAAAAAAAUUGUGCUUUUUCACCUUUUACAAAAACAUUAGUGCUCCAAUUAAAUUGAUAAUAUAUAAAUUAGGUGUCUUUCUGAAAAUGAAGUGCCUCCCUGAAAAUAUAAUUCUGAAACCUCCCCUGUUCUAAAGUGCCGUUCCCUAGUUCAGGCAAUGCUUUGGCAACUAAUGCCUAAGGCAGUGGUUACAAUUUACAUCUUAUUUGUCCAUAUUGUCUUACAAUCUCGAAAUAACUUUAUAGUAAACACUAAACAAUAACUUUAUAGUAAAUUUCCAUCCCCAUCUAUUUUAAGGUAAAAAUGCUGAAAUCAGUAGGACUCUCUAUGUUCCAGCUUUUUGAAACAAAAAUCAACAGUAAUGUGUCACCUACCUGGCCAAUUAAUCCAGAGUCUAGCAUCCAUUCCCAUGGAAUAUGGAACUCCCUGUAUCUUUUGCUUGUUCCUUCUCUACAUUUUUCAAUGUUGCUUACACUUUGUUCCAAUCUGCCCGAAACAGAAACAAAACAUGAUCAAUAUUACUUUUCAUAAAUUUAGGCUAAAAGUGCAAAUUCAUUGUUACAUGAUGCUCGCCUGUCUUGUAGCGCUUGUAUUUUCUUCAAAGAUUGUGUCAGUGGCUGUUUCGGAUUACUCUUAAAUGAUAAAACUUCAGUGUGAAGGUUCUUCAGGUCUCCGUAGCUGAAUGCAGCUUCCCGCAAUGCAUCAGCUUUUUUCUCUGGCCACUGUGGAAAGUGUUUCAGGACAGCCCUUUCAUCGACCAAACACGAAAGUUCUUCAUCCAGCCACUUUACAAAUGCUUCCACAUCUGAGAUCUUAUUGAAUGAUGCAGUCUCAACCUCGCCUGUUAAGUUAUUAAUAAGGCCCCCUUGCAUUUCCACAUCAGAUUUUAUCUGUUCAUACAAAUGCAUUUAGUGGAAACACUAUAAUGAUAUGUGUAAAAAUAUGCAGACCACAUGAUAAACUGUGAAAACAUUUAGGACUUACAGCUGAAAGAUAAGUUGAUUUGUUCUCAAUCUCUCCAAUCAUGUUCCUUGAGUUCACUACCUGCAAAAACCCUAUAGGACUGCUUUUAUUAUCAACAUGAGAAUCUCUUCUCAUAAGCGAACGAUAGAACUCCAUCACCUCUGGCACACGCCGCACUGCUUUUGAUCCAACCAACGCUUUUGAGGGGGGUGGAGGAGGCGGUGGUGGAGAUAAUUGCCCUAUAUUCCCAUGUAAUUGUUUUAGUGAAGAGGUAACAGGCCGUGGAGGCGGUGGUAUUGCUACUCUUAUUGCUGGUAUUUCCUUCUUUACUGCAGCAUCUGCGAGAUCAUCUUUUGGACUGAACUUCUGAAAUACUUGACUUCUCUCUGGUACUUCAACUGAAAAACUCGGUUUCUGUUGAGAUUUCUCAGGAACUUUAACAUCCAACGAGUUCUGUAACUUCUUCCAGAGCACAGAUUUCCUCUCACUAUCAUGUGCUUUGAGCGUAUGUACUUGUGCUUUCAGACGAGCUACUUCUUGUUUCAGUUCUUGAUUUUCAUUCUCCAGGGAAUGGAUCCUUAGCAAAGAAGCUUCAAAUUCUUUCUUCAGGAAGGCGAUCCUCAUGGACUCUUCUCCGCUGCUGCGAUUAAGGGGCAUUUUGUAAAAAAAAAAAUUAUUUUCUUGCAGAGAAUUGAACAAGAGGGAGCUGAGGAAGUGAUGUUGAGUUAAAUUGGUUGGUCUGCUUUCUCUUUAUGCAUGGGGUUACUUCUGGAAAAAGGCAUACUCACCUAAGCUAAAUAUAUAAAACUUGCAAAAUUUACCCCUAGAUCUUUUGAAAUCCAUCAUGUUGGAAUUCUUUAAUUUUCAAAUAUGGGUAUUUUCGACAUUCCAAAUAAGAUUUUUCUUGUCAUAAGGCUUGCCCCUGUGUAGCUGUCCCAUGCUAGACUUGCUAGUCAUGCAAUUUUAGGUACACAUUUAUUUUCUCUAGUGUUAUACAAAUAUAACCUUGCAAUUCUGUCUUACUUGAGCAUGAAGCUUUUCUUUAGUUCAGUGUAUCUGUGUAUGGCAGCAAAUCUUGUUCUUUGGUAGCAGAACUGUACUGUUCUUUAUUCAACAGGCUAACAGAGUGCUGCAAUAAAUUUAGCAAAAGAAAAAAAAGUGUGUUGUAAAUUGUAAUACAUUGAGAAACUAUAAUUCUAUGUAGAUUAUUGUGAUCUUGAUGGUGAAUUUCUAUGAAUAAUGUGGUAAAAAAAACAGCAAGUGAAGUAGUAAUUCUUAUUCUUUGCUUGGAUGCAAUAUUAUAAAAAAACAAGGACUAAAAGUAAAAGAAAGAAAAAAGAGUGAGAGAUGUGACAGUGGAAUCUAAAGAGAAAAGUAAAAGUCUAUGAUUAUUACAGCCUACCAGAAUGGGUCCUGUUGCAUUCCCUGUGUAUCUCUACUUAUACCCUUUUAUUAAUUUUGUUGUUGGUUGAAAAAAUAUAUAUUUAUGAGACAAGAAGUGAGUUAGCUGUUGCUUAGUUUAUAUAUAUUUGGUUUGGUGCUGUAAACUCAUAAUUAAAGUAAGAGACAUCAACCGCUAGAGUUGGGAAGUUCUGAUUUCACUUCAAUGUUGCUACAAAGAUUUGGUAAAUAAUGAAAAUGAAAAAGUUAUGCUUGCUUGAGGCUUAAAUUAUGUGUUGUUGAAAUCUAGAUAUUCAUCUGUGGAACUUGAUCAUCAAGUUCCUCCUCGCAGUUUAAUAAAAAUUAAAAAGUUACGGUCUUGGGUUCGAUUUUUGUUCACUUGAGAAUUAUCUCAGAAUGGACAAUACUCCAUUAGCUUAUAACUAGCAGUCUAGCAGUGUCAUAGUAAAGGGGGGAGGAGCUUAGCUAACACAGCUUCAUCUAUAUUUAAAUAUGUAUAUGUUAAAAUAUUCAUUUGCCUAAUUGUGGGGGAAUUUGAAGCUUUAUACAAGGGAAUGAGAGAACAUGGGAAUUUAUGUUGGGUCCUAAUUUAUUAAUUACAGACAGGUGGAAAAGCUAGUGGGAAAUUCAUUUAUAUGGCAUACGCCCUAGCCAAAGGGGAAGUCAGGUGUCUAAUGCAAUUACAGGUUCCUAUGUGAAGAUGCAUGCAUAGAUCUAACUAUAGUCAACUAAACACACCCACCAAGUUGAGAUUGUGGUAUACUACUAAAACUUUCUGUGUUUUUUUGUAAAGCUCAUCAAGACAUUACUAUUACAACUCAGCACCUGCUCACAUCUCUGAUCAGAACGAGCUCAUAUCUCUGAUCAGUACAAACUUAUAACCUCGUAACACGAGGAGAGUGAUAACAUUUACCUAAAGCAUUGCAAAUUAUCAAAACUUUAUAAUCAGGCUAACUAAUUUGUUUCAAGAACCAGCUUAUUAAACAGUGGUAUCCAGCACUGUCGGCAAAAAAAGAUAAAUACCAGCAAUCCCAUCUCUAAUGACAAUCCGUUACACCACAGGAGUUCAAAAAAAAAAAAAAAAAACUCUAGUCCCCAUUGACAAGAAUUUUCCACCCAACAAUUGUAUGAGAAUUUUGUUACAAUCCAACCAUAUAAUUACUGGGAUAUUUAUAGCCUGGGCAGCUAGUCAAUUAAUUCUGAUGUAACAAUGAGCCAGUAGAUAUUAAUGAUCUCAAACACAGACAUGUCUUUGAACAUCUAUUAACACCAUUUGCAACUCCUUUAUCACAGUAAAGACAUUGAUCAUCUACCAAAAAAAUCCCACGAACCACAAAAUCCAAGAAUUGUCUCACAGCAAAAACUCUGUUGUACCAUAAAGUAAUAUUUUUUUUAACGUAGCAUAGAUCGACAAGUAAUAAGUAAUUCACACCAUGACACAAAAGGGGACUCAAAUGACACAGACCCUAUAAGUUGAAUGCAGACCUAAGUUUAGAUCAAAGGUGACAGACUUCAACGACAGACCCACAGACCAACACAUCCACACCAUUCCUACCCAUUAAAAAAAUCCAUUGCAAAUCACCAUGGCUUGACCAUGCACAAGGUGGGUAGGUGACUGGUGAGGCAAAAUAUUUAACCUCAACAACUGAAAGGACAUAAUUUAUAUGGUAGACAUCUCUGAAGGGAGCCAGGUUCCUCACUCAUCCUUCUUUGACUCUACUUUAUCACUCUCCUUCUCAGAAUCCUUCUCCUGAGUUGCUGCAGGAACCACAUUUUCCUCUGUUUUCUCUUCAUCUUUCUUCUCUUUUACACUCAACUUGUCAAGCUGCUCAGCAGCAGUAGUAGAUUCCUCACUUUCCUCUUUCUUUACUUGCGAUUCGGCAAUCUCUUGGAACGUCUCCAUAAAGUUCUUGCAAUCUGAAAACCAUUGCCGUAAUUAUGGGGUUAGGAUCAAAACUAUUGAUAUGGUUGUCAGAAGUAUUUUUUCAUUAUUAGGAAAAUCAAUUUCAUUUCAUCAUAUUGAUCAAAGGUUAUUAUCAGUCAGUCACUCAGUCUGUUACUAUUGGAAACAAAUAACCUUGUAUCUCGGUAACUGAAAAAAAAAAAGGAAACUGAAAUAUUCAUAAGAAGAUUAAAUCAUGAAUUCUUAAAACACAUUCCCCUAGUAAGAGUAUUCAGCAAUAGAUCAAACACUUAUUCCAAAGAAAAACCUAUAGCUUUAAUACUAACAGAACAUGAUUAAAAAUCAUGGAGUGGCAGUGUUUUUCCUGUGUGUGCGGGUGUAUCAGUGUGUGUAUGGGUUGAAUCAUCAGUGUUCCUGAAGGAACCUUGGGAUAUCAAUCCCUUGAUCAAUGUGAGCAGUACUCACUCUGCCUGUUGAGCCCAGAUUAUAUUGAUGCAAAAUGUUAGAGAAAUCUGACAUACCAACCACAUGGCUCUUAAAAUACUAGACAAUAUAAGAAACAAUCAAAUGAGUUGCAAAAAAUAUUAUAAAUUAAUUGAUAUAUACAUAUAAGCUCAUUUACAAUAAUUAUAAUUUACAUAUGAUAGCGUAACAGGGAUCUUAGUAUGUCGCCAAAUGGUUAUAGACCUAUAAGAUGCUAAAUAACUAUAUCGAAAGAAACAACUUUUUAAUCUAAUGAACAGUUUAAUAUAAAAUGAUAUAUUAAAAUACAAUAUUUUUUAUGGUUCAAACAUAUAUCAAUUUACGAUUAGAUUAUAAUAAUAACAAUAUAACAACUAAUAUAUGUAUAAUUCAACAAACGACAAUAUAUAUACUUAAAAUGUUAUAAGCUAGUCCUGCUCCUGCUGCUGAUGGCAUUAUAUAAAUAAUUUAUAUAAUUAAUGUCUAGAAUUCAGCUAAGAUAAUAUUACAUAUAUAGUAAUUUAAUAUUUUAAGAACUGAUGAAAUGAAAUUGAUAUUUCCUUAGUUGUUUUGUCAGAUUCUCCGCCAUCAACACCAAACACCUUUUACUGCUGCAUGAAUCAAUUGGGUCCAAGAACCAUAUAUUGAUGAUAGUAAGCGUCACAAACAUACGUGUGGCUAUAAAACAAUUUAAUAGACCUAGGCAUGCCCAUUACUUGCACUAGUCAAGAUAGAAACAUGGACCCUAGCAAAAAAAGGCAAAUGAUCUUAAAUCCAAAUCACCACAUUCAAGAUUAAUUUCAGAACAUAUAAAGUCAGGAUCUAGACUCUAGAGUACUAAACAAUUCAAUUGAACAAUAACCACAUACGAAGCAUAAACCAUUUCAAGUAUAAAGUUAUCGGAUAAAACAAACAUACUCUCUAUGGAUCCAAAUCUGAUGCAGAAGAGUUCAUCCUUAAGUUCACCAUCAGCAAAAUCAGUAGCAUGCCAAACGCAAGACUUCUCAUUUCCAGCAUGUUCCUGAACAGUCAUUGUAGGAUGAACUGCAAACACAAUCCGACACAAAACUUCAAACCUAAAAGCACAAUCCAACUCACUGUAGAACUAAAAAAAUCAACACAAAACAAACCAAGAUGAUUGGCGCAGAUCUUAAGGGUCCUGGAUUGGCGCAUAACUAAACGAACUUUUCCAGUUUCCUUAUGCUUCAAAAACUUAACAGUACCCGCACCCCUCUCUUUCCACUGAUUUCCAUCUUUAUCAAAUCUAUAAAGCUUCGACUUACUGCAGACAAAUCGAUAAUUCAAAACCAAAAACAAAAAUUACAACAUAAAAUACAACACAUCAAACCUAUACAGCUUCAAUUCACUUCACAAAUUCACAAUUCAAAAUUCCUAAACCCUAGCUUCUAAUUUUAACUACAUCAGAAAAAAAAAUCUACAAAUAUACAUAUGUAAAUUUAUAUCAAAUAAAAAAGGAGACAUAUGCAAAUUUAUAUCAAAUAAAAAAGGAUAUUAAAAGCUAGAUUAAGACGAAGAAACAUACAGAUCGAGAAUAGUGUCUUCAUUUUCUUCACCGGUGGUGACGGCGACUUCUUCGAGACGGACAAUCGGAGCGACCUGAGCUCCGGUAUCUUCGUCUUCCGCGGCGACGUGCUCUUCCUCUUCUUUGCGCUCUGGUUCGGCCAUGGUUGUCUGAAAAUAAAAGUAAGAAACAGAGACAGAGAUUGUGUGCUGGCUCUGAUAUGAACCCUGGAGGGUUAUAAGAGGGUUUUAAUAUAGGGCCGUGUUUGGGUCAAUUGUCGGUUUAAAGCCCAAAGAGUGUGCAACCAAAUGGCCUGUCCAACAAAAUUCACUUGCACUGUAUAUAAGUGUAUAUUCAUUCAAAAAAUUGCAUUAAUGUGAGUAUUGGGAAAUUGAAGAAAAAAAAGUUAUGUCUUCAAACGGGCAAUAAUGUUGAGUGGAUUUAUAAUGAAUUUUAGCUUAUUAUGUAGGCAAGGGAUUUAUUAAUCUAUCUAUUAUAUAUACUAGCUUAUAGCCCGUGCAAGGCACGGGAGCUUUUUAAUUAUUUAUAAACUUUUUAAAUAUAUUUUAAAUGGUGUGAAAAAAUUUAAUUUAUAAAUAAUAAAUUAAAAUUGUAUGUAUCAUGCCAAAGUAUUAAAUUCUUUCUAUCAAAUUUUAAAUUAUUUUAAGUAAAAUAUGUGACGCCAACUCCUAUUAGAUUAUAUUUAUAAAUGUAUUUUAUAUUAGAAUUAUUAUAAUGGGAUUAAAAUAUUUUUCUAAAAUGUUUUAUGGUUCGAGAUUAAAAUUGAUAAACACAAUUUGUUUUGAAUUAAGAAGAUGAAUCAUAAACAUGCAAUAACAUGGUAGAAUUUGUUUUGGAUUAAGAAAAAGUUUUUGUAUUCGUUCCUCACAUAAAUCGGGCUUAUUAAUUUUAAAAUAUAUUAGAUAAAAAUAAUUUUGUGACGGCGCGAUUUAUAUGAUUCUACAAAUAAAAUUGAUAGAAAAUAUUUAUUUUCAAUUAAAAAAAUCAUAAACACGUGAAAUACAGAAUUUGUUUUGGAUUCAGAAAAGAAAUUAUAAACAUGCAAGUAGAUAUCAGUUGUCUUAUGGAACGGAAGUUAAUUUUGUUCUAAUCUAACGGUGCUUAUUUGUUCAAUAUACGAUCCGAUGGAUAAAAAUAAUUUUGUAACCUUGCGAUUUAUACGAUUCUACAAUUAACUACAAAUAUUUGUUUUGGAUUAAAAGAAAACCAAAAACACAUGAAAGAUAGAAUUUGUUUUGGAUUCAGAAAAAGAAUUAUAAACAUGCAAGUAGAUGUCAGUUUCCUUAUAGAAUAUAAUUUAAUUUUGUUCUAAUCUAACGGUGCUUAUUUGUUCAAUAUACGAUCCAACGGAAGAUAAGCUUUUGGAAUAUAGGACCAUGCGACCAAAUUAUCUCCCUUACGCUUAUUAUAUAUAAGUAUAUAAUAAUACAGCAACCAUGAGUAAUUUAAUUCAAAACGACCAAUUUACCCUUUGCUCAUCAUCCAAUAUUUAUAUAUAUAAAGGUUAUUAUUGACUUUUAACAUUAACAUAUUUAUUAGACAUUAAUGUCUAAUAAUUGUAAAUUAAUUCGAUAUGACUAAUAUACCCUUCGCUUAAUACACAUAUUUUAAUAUAUAUAAAGGUUGUUAUUGACUUUUAAUACUAACGCAUUUAUUAUACAUUAAUGUCUAAGCAAUGUAUUUAUUAUACAUUAAUGUCUAAGCAUUUAUAUACAUUAAUUAUAACAUGAUCAUUAUUUGAAAUUAUUUUAAUAUUAUACAUAUAAAUAAUAUAUAUCUAAUCAUUUUUAAAAUUUUAAAUUUUCCCCACAAAGUUAAUCGGCCGAUUUUUAGAAUAUUUAAUUAUUGUGAUUUAAUAAAAUUAUAUAUAUGAUUUAAUAAAAUCAUAUAUAUGAUUUUUUAACUAUACGACAAAGACUCUGAUUCGACAAGAAUCUUAUUUGUUUUUAUCAAAUUUUCAAUAAUUUUAGGUGAAUGAUAAUUUAAUUAUAUAAUAAAAUUUUAAAUAGUGUAUAUUUUUUAUAUUUACAUUUCAAUAAAUAUCAUCAUAGUAAGGAUAUAUGUACAUUUAGACAUCAAGAUAAUAAGACUUAAAAUACAAGUAAAUAUAAAUUUAAAUUAUAUCUAGGGAAAUUCUUCUUGAUGGUACCCUCGUAGAAGUGGUUUUUUUCAAUGGUACCAUCGCAUUUUUGACUUCUACCGAUAGUACGCUCGUACUUUUAAUUUACUCUUUAUGGUACACUCGUGUACUUUUUAUUUACUCUCUAUUGAUUACAAACUUAAAACAAAUUGUAUAUUUGAAAUCCUUGCGAUAAGUUACAUAAAAUAGACCCUUAAAUCAUGUAAAACAGAGUCAAAAUGAUGGUAUUUUUUCUGAGCAGUUUAAUGUUCGAUCGUAGAUGAAGGUAUAAUCUUUUGUCAUAGUCAAAACUCUAAGCUGACGAUUGCUGCGCGGCUGCUGACAUAAUGAGAUGUUAUAUUUCCAAUUGUGUUUAAACAUCAUGUAAUAUAUACAAUAUAUACUGUAGUUGAUGAUAAAAGAAGCAGUUUGGCCAAGCAUCCCGGUGCAAGGGCUAAUGACCAGAAGCCUGAAACAGUGAUUAGCCACUAACUAUUUUUUUUUAUUCUAUAUAUCUAAGUAUCUGACACAUACUUGUAGCAGUAAAAUCGAAUCAUGAUCAAUUUAAUCCAAAAUGACUAAACUAUCCUUUACUCAAAAUACAUUCAGUUUGUUCGAUUCGAUCAUUGGUGUAGAUGUCGUAUGGCUUUCUAUUAUUAGAUUAACACCUUUGUUUAAAAAAAAAAAAGAAGAUAUUUUUCAUUCACAAAAUUUGAACGUAUGUCUAUAAAAAAAAGAAAAGAUGGGGAAAAUAAAAUUUUUUAAGAAUGAUUAGAUAUAUAUUAUUUAUAUGUAUAAUACUCCCUCCGUCUCAAUUUAUAGGUCCAUUUUGGAAAAAAAAUUGUCCCAAAAUACUUGUCCCUCUCUUCUUCCAAUACAAAUUUAUCUACAUAUUAAUUGUGACUUUUUUGAAACUCAAAAUUAUUCUCAUUUCUCAAUGCACUAAAUCCCUAUAUUUAUUGUGAUUUUUUUGAAACUCAACUAUAUUUUCACUUUUCAAUGCACUAAUUAAUGAUACAUGUGAUAAGAUUCUAUCUAACCAAUUUUUUUCUUAACAUGCGUGUUUAUUCCAAAAUGGACCUAUAAAUUGAGACGGAGGGAGUAUUAAAUUAAUUCCAAAAUCAUGUUAUAAUUAAUGUAUAUUAAUGAUUAGACAUUAAUGUCUAAUAAAUACGUUAGUUUUAAAAGUCAAUAAUGACCUCUUUAUAUAUAAAAAUAUGUAUUUUGGUAUUGCAGUCAAUGGACUGGCUUGAUGUAUAAUGUAGGAAUUAAGUAUCUUAUGGGGCUAUGUUUGGCUACGAAAGUUAAGCCUUAAUGUUUAUUUGUUUUUAUAAAAAUAUAUAUUUUAUAAAUUUUUGGAUAUAUUAUAUAUAAUUAUGAUUUAAUAAUAAAUAAAUAAAUAUUCAGUGUUGUAAAAAGCGGAAAUCAGAAAAUCAGCGAUUAAGCAGAAUGAUUAAUAGGAUCAUUAUUCAGAAUUAAUUUAAUAUUAUAUAUGUAAAAAUAAUAUUUUAUAUAUAUAUAUAUAUAUAAUCAUUUUUAAAAUUUUAAAUUUUCCCCAAAAUUUUUGUAAAUUUUAAUAUUCUACCUGAUUUUCGACCCUAUUAAUCCAAUUUUCGACCAAUUAGUCAUCGAUUUAACCGAAUUUUAAUAUAUUUUUUGUAUUUAUAUUUUUAAUAAAUAUCAUAAAAGUGAGGAUAUGUGUAUAUACAGAUAUCAACAUACUAUGAUUUAAAAUAUAAAUAAAUAUAAAAAAGAUAAAUAACGAGAUAUAACAUAUAUUGAAGAAAAUGAUUUAAAGCAACCCGUGUUUUGCACGGGUUAAGAAGCUAGUUUGUAUAACAGAUAAGAUUAAUGAUCGAAAGUUAAAAUAUAUUAAGAGUAAAUCAAUAAUAUUAUAUGAUAUUUUGCUCAAAAAUAAUAAUAAUAAUAUUAUAUGAUAUCAUCACAAUUUCACAGAGAUUUUAUUAUUCAAAAUUUUUCUUUAUACUUUUAUAUUAUCCUAUAUAUCAUAUCAUAUGGGAUUGGACACGGAGACCAAGAAAAAAUGUAAGAAAUGAGUAAAGUUAGAUGGAAAGUGGGUAAAGUGGUGGGACCCACAUAUUUUUUUUAUAAUAGAUUUGAGGUAGUGGAGAAAGUAAUGGGUGUAAUAGUGUUUUUAUUAUUAUAGAAUGGAGAUAGUGUGAGAAUGUAGUGGGUGGAGUAGUGUUUUAUAUUAUAAAGUUGUUAUUUUAGGAAUGUAUAGAAAUGAUGGGACAUCCCAAAAAGAAAAAUGUAUAAAAUUGAUUGGGACAGAAGGAGUAAUGAUAAAUUAUUUUUUCCACUAUGCGUGUAUCAUUUAAUAUAAAAUUUGUAUACUCUAAAACUCAUUUUUAUAUUUCAAAACUAAUAAACAAAUAUCUUAUAAAGCUAAACAAUCACUUACUCUCCCCGUGUUCAUUUUCAAAAUAAAUUUUGUCUCUAUUUACGUGUUCAUUUAUAUUUUCAAAAUAAAUUUUAUGUUAAAUUUUCAAAUGCAUUUUUAUGACUUUUGUUGCAAAGCUUGACUUGUUUAAAAUUUAGUUUCAUUCACCAUUUCAAGAUAUUAACUAAUGUUGUGUUUGAUUGGGGUGAAUAAUUCCGGAAAGAAUUGAAUGAAAAAUGAAAUAUCUUAUGGACAGUUGUUGAGAAAUUUCACUUUUUUCCUCCAUUCCAUUCCUUACCUCACGUGCUAGAUAUCGCACCCUCAAUUUGAGAUGGAAUGCUCCUGUCAUAUUCUCAAUUUUUUCUCAAAUCUCAUCAUAGCAAUUUUGUAUUCUCUCAAUUUUUUUUCCAAAACUUUCUUCCUAUCUCUAUGAGUUUCAAGUAUUUUGUGGUCAUUUCACUCCAUUCUCCCCAAUCAAAUACAACAUAAGGGUAUUUAAAAAAUUACACAUUAAUUAAUUAUCAAUUAUUUCUUAAUACUUGUGAUUAUUUUAAAAUGAAUAUGUAAAAAAAGUAGAAAAGGACUAAUUUAAAUUUUGUUUUACUCGGGUACUUUUUGCACUCGUAUGCCGUUGAUAUAAAUGUCAAAUUAAGCCGCGAGGGUAGGCGGUAGCUGACGGAUAAUCUCAGUACUGGCUGUCAAAUUACAUGUACAAACAGGAACAGCCGCUAAUCGGGUAGGUAGAAUAGAAAUGUACCAUUUGGCUGGAUGUGAUUAUUAGCUUAGUGAGAUUAAACUAAUCAAACUCAACUCAAGAGUCUCGCUAUAUUCAAUGAAUUCAGUUUCUACCAAACAUCUUCUUUUGCAGACGUGAUCAGAAAUUCACAAUGUGAUUUCGCUGCCUCAUGAUCCGAAACAUUAGUUUAGUCAACUAGAUAAUUCAAAUUAAAACCCAAAAAAGAUUCGACUUCCUCUGUAAAGUUUGAACAUUAAUUGUAAGGAACUAGCUUCCAGAUUUAAGAUGUGUUAUUAAGAUCUACAAUCUGUCAAAUUAUAUGUAACAAUAUUCAUAGACAAUAACUAAGCGUUACUAGUUCACAGCUGUAAUAAGAGCUAAAGAUGCUCGAAGUAGUUAACUGUGUUCUAUUUCUGAAGAAUAUAACUUGCUCUAUAAAUAUUCGGUUUAAUUUGCUAGUAAUUUUCCACCGUUUCUGAAUUAUUUUUUUUAAGUACAUUCAAGUCGAAUCAUUUUGCUUGUGGAUGUGCUUAAUUAGCCGCUUAAUCACACACUGAGUAAACAAGUUUAAGCCAAUGAAGUUGCAUAUGUCUAAAAUGUUUGUUUAUGCAGUAUAUCCCCAAUCUCGUAGCUGGCGUUGGCAAGGUGUUGAAGUAAUUGAGAAAAUGUUACUACGUUUAUAAUAUUGUUAUUUGUCAGAUUGUCAGUAAUCGAUUAUUCUAUCUAUGCCAGCUCUUUCUGUGAAGUGCGGAUCGCGGUUAGAAUUUCAAAAAUAAAAUGUAAGAGCACCAUCCCAUGAAAUUUUGGUAUAUAUGAUUGAAGUUCCUCAGCCGCGUAUGGACUGAGGAGCAGAAUAUAAUACACGUAGAUUGAUUGGUUGCAAAGGGAAACGAACGAGAUAGAUUCUAAUGAGUUGGCAAUUUUUAAAGAAAUUCGAAGACAGGCAGAAUAACAUAACUUGGACACAAGCUUUUAUUCUGAAUUUGGACAACAGCAAUCUCAGCCUUGCUUUACUUUCGGCUCCUCAUGUUUCAAGUAUAGUUUUUAAGACAAAACAAAUGGUUAAUUAAAAAAAUACAAUACCAGCCCUUAAGCUUGUCAUAAAGUUGUUCAUGAAUCAAAGUAGAUGUCCAUAAUCUCGUAUGAAUAGGAUGUAGCGAAAAGACCAUGAAGAUUAAUAGCUAUGCCCACUACAAACGAGUGGCGUCAUUGCUUAUGAGAAUUCUACAGUGACACGCAAUGCACAUGUGUUCGAAAACAGGAGCUCUCAAAACUUUUAUAUUUUCUAGUAAAGUAGUUAUAAAUAAAUAUCUAAUAAAACAGCGUUUGUGUUGGCAACCAAGGUAGUUGUCAAGUGUUUGCUUAGUAAUCGUAAUAUUAAUUCUGUAAGAAAUUUUUGAGUGGACAGAAACUAUUUUCUUCUUGGUUAAGAAUACUUGAACCAAAUGAAAACCAGAAAGCAGAAUGCAGAAAAGCAUAUUCAUAUUGAUCCCAAUUCCCAAUUGUGAGUGUGCCAUAUCAUAGCCCACAACCUGCCUUUCUAUCUAUCCAUUCAUCCAACUCAAAAGCCACAUGUAACUAAAAGUAGGUCACUUGUACCAAUUAUACUGUAUCCCAUAUGUAUAAAUAAUUCAACAUAAUAUAAUUACUGUCUUCACAUUUUUAUUCUGAGUUUUGUUUAACCAAUACAUCAAUACCCUUUAUUAAUAACUGAAACCACAUUUCGGUGGAACAUCGGUACCAAAAGUACCAAAAUUUGGUCACUUUCAUAUUGAUUAGGAUUUUAUGGUCAUUAUUAUACUAUUGUCAAAAGACUUCUGUAUUGAAUAAAAUAUUAUUAUUAAAGACCUCAAUAUUCAUUAGGACAGUGAAAAACUUCUGUAUUAAUUAGAAUUUUAUUAUUAAAAACUUCAAUAUUGAUUAGGACAAUGUUAUCUAAUCUUUUUAUUUAAUAAAAAUAAUCAUUAUAGAAUUUUGAAAAGUUUUUCAUAUUGUUAGAAUUUUUAUACUUAUCAUUAUACAUUUUUUAGGAUUUUAUAAUUAUUUUUAUACAAUUACGAAAAGACUUCUAUAUUGAUUCAGAUUUUAUUAUUAAAAAUUUUAUUAUUGCUUAAGAUUAUUAUACUACCAUAAAAACACUUAUGCGAUGUUUAGGAUUUUGUAAUAUAACAUUUAUCCUAUCCGCAGUUAAAUCGCUAACAAUUUAACUUAUAAAUCAGUUCUAUACAAUUCAUAUCAAAAUUUGGCUAUCAUCAUAUUAUUUUUUAUAUAACAAUUAUUACUAUCAUCAAAAGACUUCUUUAUUUGACAGGAUUUUGUACUAUAACAAUUAUCUCACUAAUAAAAAUAUAUUACCAACAAAAUUAGUUGUUUUAAUUUUUUUUAAACUCAAAUAAUUUAAUAUACGGAACAACUCUCAUGCUUCUAGGUUCAAUUAAAUAAGGAGUUCAUAUUGAUAUUAAUAUAAUAUCCUAUCAAUAGAAUAAUAAUGUCAACGAAAUUAUUCGUUUUAAUUUUUAAAACUCAUACAAUUUAAUUUACGAAAUAAAUUUAUAAAAUUUCUAUCAUAUUUCAGAAUUAAAAUAAACAAGAUUCAAUAUUGAUACCAAAGUACCAAAGAACUUGGUCAUAUAUUUUUUAAUAAUAAUAAUUAUUAUCAUUAAGUGUUUUCAGAAGAUUGCGAUAAAGACGAAUAAGGCGUUGGUAACACUGACUUGACAAAUAGAAACUCAAAGAAAAUGAAGUGAUUAUCCAUAUUGCAACAUAUAAUAAAAGAACCGAAACUCUAGACAUACGUCAAUAUUCGUUUUAAUUUUUAAAACUCAUACAAUUUAAUUUACGAAACAAAUCUAUAAAAUUUCUAUCAUAUUUCAGAAUUAAAAUAAACAAGAUUCAAUAUUGAUACCAAAGUACCAAAGAACUUGGUCAUAUAUUUUUUAAUAAUAAUAAUUAUUAUCAUUAAGUGUUUUCAGAAGAUUGCGAUAAAGACGAAUAAGGCGUUGGUAACACUGACUUGACAAAUAGAAACUCAAAGAAAAUGAAGUGAUUAUCCAUAUUGCAACAUAUAAUAAAAGAACCGAAACUCUAGACAUACGUCAAAAUAUUUGAUAUCAAAUUACUUUUGGAAAGUUAAUUAAUUUUGUCAAACUACAAUAUUAAUUUAUCAAACAACUACAACAACUGUUAGAUCUACAAAAACUCCAACUAGAAUUAUAUAUAAUGUUUGCCUAUUAAAUGAAUAAAAUAAUUGCGACUAAAAAUUUUGAAUUUUUGUUCAAGAUUAAAGAUGCUAUAAACAAACUUAUAUGUGUUGAUCUUGAAUAUUAUUUUCACAAUUUAAAAAUCAUCAAACAACAUAGUAAUUUUACUAAAAUAAAACAUACUGUUAGAGUUAAGUUCCAUAAAGUCCGCAUUAGAACCGCAGUAAGUACCAGUUAAUUUUUUUUAGUUUAAUCAUAAAUAAUAUCUUUAAUUUUUCAAAUUUUAUAUAUAAUUUACAAUCUUUAAAUAGUUUUAAAUAUAUAGUUAUCAAUUAAUCAUUAACAUCUUUCAACAUUAAUAAUCAUUAGGAUCAUUAUUCUACUCACGAGUUAUAUUUUAGAACAUAUUUAGUGUUUAGUGAUUUAUAAAAUAAUUGUUUUAUCUUUGAUUGCAACGAUUAUAUUGUGGAAGAUAACCUGCAAAUUGUCAGAUUUUUACAAAUAUUGUAAACUAAAAAAAUUAAAAUGAAAACGAGUAGAUUAUUUUUAAAUAAUAUUGGACUCCAAUACUCUUAUUUUGUGGACUUCAUUGAACAUAGACCCAUAUUGUUAUGAAAUAAAUUUAAAGUAGGAUCAAAUUUUAAUAUAUAGAAAGUCUUAUACUAUUAAAUAACAAUAAUUUAAAUAUCAUUUAAAAAUAAUAAUUUAAAUAGGUGUAACAAAAAUAUGAUAAUGUAAUUAGAAAAAGACAUUAUUUUUCCAAUAAAUAACAAAUUUUAAAAUUUUAUUUAAACCCGUGCUUGGCACGGUUAUCAACUAGUAUAUUUAAAUUGAGUGUUGUAGAAACUGUUAAUCAUUUUGUCAGACACAAGUAACUUAACUAUGUGACGUGUAACGGUGUAAGCAAUGGUUUGCUUUUAUUUUCAAUUCUAAUUUAUCGCUUUCGGUAAGAAAACAUGUGAUGAAGCGGAGUUGAACACAAAAUGUAAAACAUAAAAUUGUCAUAUAUGAUCUGUGUUUACAUUUGUGACAGUAAAAAUAGGACAACCAAAACAUAUGAUUGCCAGUACAAUAGCUGUAACUUUUAUGCUGAAUCACAUGCGGACAGAUCAAAACACCUUCUGCUCUUGCUGUAAAUUUGUCGGGAAAGCACUCGUGAAAUUCUUGAUUCAGUAAAACAUUAUUAUUGUCUUUUGAAUCUGAAUAUUCGCAGUUUAUCGCUCCACUUAUUUCACCGCACACUUUCGAAACCGAACAUGUCUUGGUUGUUUCCUCGGUUAAAUCAUCAACUUCCAUAAUUGCCCUUUCUUCCUCCUUUUCGUCAGCGCCGUUGGACCAAUUUGAACCGGCCGCUUGCUCUUUCUCAUCUGCCAAUGUUCUCACCGAAACCCAGCCAUCUGAUUCUUCCCAGAUUGCCCCCGUCUUUGAAGCUAAUUUACUUAUCCUAUCCUUUCCGAGAAAAUCCGAACUUUUGACAUUAGCUACGUUUGAGUCGAUUUUUGUCGUACCGAAUUCAAAAUUAAAUAUUUCAAGAUUCUGAUCAUCAUCUUCGUCCGAAAAAUUGGAAUUUAACCAAUCGAGAGUACACCUCGGUGACACCUCAGCAUCCACGUCGGAUAAACAAGUUGUGAGUAAAAACGGAUGCUGCAACAACUGAUCACAGCUCCACCUCUCUUCACGAUUCCUCCUCAAACACUUGUCCAAAAAAUCUUUACCGAGUCGAGACAAUUGAGAUGGAAUCUUCGGCAAAUCAUCGGAAUAUCCGAUUCGAAACACGGUGUCGAAUCCCUUAUCUUGCCACGCUGGCUUCCCCGUCACCAUCUCGAUAACCGUGCAACCCAAAGACCAAACAUCGGACUCGGGUCCUUGAUACUCACCUCGGAUCACCUCCGGCGCCAUCCAAAGCGGGCUGCCACGUGGCAACUUCCACUCCUUUGAUUCCACCGCGGACCCGAAAUCGGCCAGCUUGGCAACACCUUUACUGGACCCCACCAGAACAUUUCUCCCCUUGACAUCGCAAUGCACAAUUCCCAAGGAAUGCGCGUACUUCAACGCCGACACAACACACCGUGUCACCGGACCGACAAUCCCCUCGUCCACGUCAGCUCCGGGAAACUUGGCCAACUCGGCCGCCGUCCCACCUGGCAUAUACUCCACGUGUAAAUUCCGAUACGCCGUAGAAUUCUCCCUGCUCACAUCGUCGCCGAGGUAAUUCACAACAUACGGCGACGAAAGCGAUUUAAGAAUCUUAAUCUCGUUCUCAAGAGCUAACAACUGGGAGUUUGAUGACGUCAGCUCAACCGACUUGACCGCGAAAACGCGACCGUCCGAUUCAUCAACGGCGAGAUUCACGGUCCCGAACGAGCCUUGGCCUAUACAAGCCCCCCUGAGCCAGCUACGUUGUACACUUUCCAUAUUGUGAAAGAAACAGAAAAGAUGCAAGUAAACAAAAGUUUGUAAGAGAAUAUGGUUUAGUUUGGUUUGGUUUGUCUUAGGAGGCGAACUAGUAAAUGGUAUAUAUAUAUAGAGUACGAGAGAGAGAAAUAAAAAAUAAUCGGUAAAAAAUAAAACAAUUAUAUUCGUGUUAUCCAUUAGAAAGAUUAGAUGACAUCUGCAUGUCACAUAUAUAUAAUUGUGUAGUAGUGAAGUAGUAGUUGCGUAGGAGUUAGGAGGAAUGAUAUACUGGCUUUUAGCCUUAUCCGAAGAUUAAUAAUGGAUAAAUACGGAGCCGUUGGAUCACGAGAUUUUACUUUUUUACUGUGGCGGUGAGAUGGGUAUUGACAAGUAGAUGGAGCAUGUGGGCAUUAAAAGGGGAAUGAAAAUAACUGUGGUUGUUUCUGGAGAAAGGCUGGCGGUUGGUGCCAACAAGUUAACAUAAAUAGUGUCGCAAAGUGGAAUCUUCUGUAUAGAUAGAAGAUGUGCUUGAUAUUUAUUCUUGGAUUUUUUAUUCCUUUUUGAACCGUGGAACCUACAAACACCUCACAUCUAUUUGUAAAUGCAUCUUUUCUUUUCUGUACUAAUACUUUUUUGUGUGUUUGUAAAACUUCAUCUUUCUUUCCGAAAAAUAGUAAAUUUGAAAAUAAUGAAUUUGAUUUAAUUUUUGUUAUUUAAUGAGAAUUUGUGAUGCAACUUAUAUCGUAUUUAUUUGGAUCCGGUUUCCUUGACUUUCGUAUGUCAGUAGCAUACAUUCAGCGAAAAAAAUGCUGGACAAUUGAACCAUAUUUUUUUAAUUUUUUUUGUAUGUGAUGUUAACAUUCGGCGAAAAAUUAUUUCAAUUUUAAAAAAAUUUAUAUUCGACAUUUUUCAUGUUAGUAUGAUUCUUAUGCGCCGGAACUACAGUCAUUUAUUUGUAAAGACUUGUGUUUGUUUUCGGAUUUGUGGUUAGAAUGGAAGUAGUUAGAACUUGGAAGGUGAAGCAUGAUGAGUUGUGAAAGUAAUUAAACAAAGAAAACCAACCCAAAGCAUGCAGAUGGCACAUAAUUAAGAAAAGACUGCAAGAGAAAAAAGGCAGGCCACAAGUCCACACGCCAAAACACAUGGAUAAGUGACAGUUUGAGCGAGUAAGAAUUGUGUUUUGGCUGUGUUUGGGCCCACGCAUCCGACCUGGCAGAAGAUGGUGGGGGCCACGUUGAUUAGAAACAGAAUCACAGGCCUAAAAGAAGGCAAUGGAAGGGGCGGUUAAAAAAAGGGGUGUCGCGUUGUGAGCACAAAUGAUAACCAACUGUCUCUGCCAUCUUUCACGUUGUAAGUGGUGUUCCAUUUGUAUACUCUUAUACGUGUUUCGCCCGGCUCCAUGCAUAAUAUUUCUUAUUUUAUUUUCACUAUUCCGUUUAUUUUUGUUAGAUUUUGUCAAAUUAGUUACCCUUUAGUUCUCAACUGGAUCAGGAUGCUACAUGACAUAUGCACUUACCUUCAAGGCAGUAUGAUGGUGGUUUGUAGAAACUUCACUCAACCACAUCUUUAUCUUCAUCUACAUAACCUAUAUCUUCUUCUUUUUUCUUGAAUUAGAAAAACGUGAAUUUAAUAUAUUUUUUAUAAAAAAAAGGGUAGUUUCCAAUUAUAUAUCUCAAUUGUGAGGGUCCAUUUAUGUAUCCAGAAAUUAACUUAGUCCAGAAGACUUGAAGUAUUUUACUAGAAUUUUUCCUAGGAUAAUAGUUGAAUUCUACUCCCUCAAUAAGUGAUAUUUUUUCAUAAGGGCUGAUAGUAAAUAUGUGAUGGUUUUUCGCAAAAGUUGAAGUAUAUUUUUUAUUUCUUUCCGCUUCUUUGCUAAAAUUUGAUAUUAAAAAAAUUGCUUUUAGAUUUGCUACUAAUUUUAUAUAUUUUCCAGCAAAAAAUUGUUUUAGAUUUACUAAACCGUUUAACACAUUUCUUCAUCAAACUUUUUUUUGUAAAUGUCUUUAAGAGCAACCAGGACUUAAGAAUUUUUACUUAAUUAAAAUUAAUUGUUAGAAAAAAUCUUUAUUAAAACAAUUUAAUUUUCAGGUGGAAAUUCGUAAUACUUUCAACCAAGUACCGAUAUCCAAAAGUAGUUCAUUCCCCGCCAACUACAACAACAAAUAUCAAACAAAACACACAUUUAUGGCAUACACUUAUGUGAUGAUUCGUAUCUCUACGAGAUUUGGACAGUUCAAUAUGUUUUCUGCACUUUAAAAAAUUCUAACGUGGAAGGGUGGCAAUAUCAGACACGACCCGAAACCCGACACGAACCCGACCCAACCCGAAACCCGAUUUACUGAGACAGAAAUCCGAAAGUGACCCGAAAAUCACCCGACAGACCCGAAAUGGACCCGAAAUGACCCGAAACUAGAAUUUCAUUUGUAAUAACUUCAAUUUUUGGUUUUAUUCAAUUCUAAGUGAUUUUAGGUUGACCCGAAAUCGACCCGAUUGCUGACACGAACACGACCCGUUACCCGAAAUCGACCCGAUUGCUUGGUGCAGACAGCAGCAAAUAUAGAGUUGGGUAUGGGCCAAAAUUUAGGUGAAAAUUCGCGAUAAGUCUAAGCUCCGGGUGUUGGUUACCAUUCAUUUAAAUUUAUCAAAAACGACAAGCACCAUGUAGAUGCAUAGAUGACAUGUUAGAGGUGAAAACAGAAGAUAUGUGGAUAUAAAAUGGAUAAGUAGGAACUUUUCAUUUCACUUAUAAGAGAAGUGGUAUGACGGUUGUUCCACUUGAACUCUACGCAAAUAUAGGAUAUAUAAAAGACUUGACCGACCAAAAAAUUCCAAUUAGUUUAGGUAUGGGCGAAAACGAAUUGAGAUUUGUGAACACAAGGCUAUCUAGUUGGGUGUAGUUGGCGUUACACCAAGAAACAACCCAUAUGGCUUAUCUUCUUCCGCUCCCUGGCUCUAACUUGUCCGCCAGAUCUUGCCUCGUCUAUCUAUCUGCAAAUCUAUAACCUUAAGUUACUAGUACUAAAUUUUUGGUUUCCUGUUCCAUGUAUAAUUGUCUCUCAUAGAGAAAAGGUAUCUUAAUUAUAAAUGAUUUAUUUUCUUAAUCAUCCGGUUAUCAAAUAUGUGUUUAAAUUAAAGAAAUAACAAAAAUGACAAUAAAAAGUAUUUACUGGAAAUAAUAUUCAAAAAAUUGUUUUGACAAUAGAGAAAACAAUUUAGAAUCUACAUUAUUUAACAUAUUCUAGCUAGUUAGUAAGUACAUAAUGUGCAUGUUUGGGCAACUCUAAUAAUUCCCUUUUUUAUAUAUAAUUUUUUUGAAUAUAAAUGUUAAAAAGAUGUUUCGUAUUCGUUAUUUGACAAAAAAAUAAAAAUUUCUUUGAGAAGAAAGUAGAAUUUUAUUUACUUUUUUCUAAUAAUAAAUCCGUCUGAGGAAAAAAAUCAAUUGAAGAGAAAUUAAUGGUUAAAAACAAGAUUAGACAAAUAAUCCAAAUAUCAAGUGCGAAAGAGGAAAUUGAUGUUUUCGACAACUGUGAUCUAAAAAUUUAAAUUUAGAUCAUUCAUUGUUUUGAUCAGUACCAAAAGCAUAAUCCAAAUUACUAUUUAUAUAUUAUAUUAAAUUACUUAAUCUUAAAUUUAGUGUUUAAUCAUCAUAUAUUAUUUUAUUAUAUUUGAUAAAUUAUUUAAAUUAAAAAUAUUAUUUUAAUAUAUGUAACUGAAUUAAAAACAUUAUUUUACUCUUCAACUGCUAAAACUUAUGGUUACGGGUGAGCUAGAGCUACUAUGAUGUGGGCAAUCGUGAAGACAGUUGAAAGGCAAUAUAUCCAACUCGGCCGGCCUGUCGACAUGUUUGGAUCAAUCUUAACGAUAUAAUACUGAAUGUUUUGUUAUACUUACAAUAAUAAUGAUGGAAUAUUGAAAAUCUGUAGGCUUUUGCAACAAAUGCAAAUCAUAAAUCAUUUAACCCACUCAAUCAAAAACUCAAAAACAUUUAAUUAGUACAUCAUUAAUCAUUUAACUCACUAAACAAAAAAGCAUGUUUAAGGAUUAAAACUCAAAGCGAGUUAAUAAAAACCCAUUACGAUUCACCAUUCUCAUAAAUCAAGUAACCAUUUCAGAUAAUUAAUCCUAAACUAGGACAUUCAUUUUUUUAUUUAAAGUGUAAUUAACAAAAUAAGGAUAAUUUUAUUUCCCAACUUGCAUCGUAUCAUAUAUUUUAAAUAAAAACAAUGCAUAAAAUAGAGAAAAUAGAGAGGUGGCAUCAUAACCCUCUCACAUAUCUGUCCACAAAAUUUUCUCAACACAUGUCUCCAUAGAAAAAAAAAAGAUAUUUCAAUCCCUUCCCCUAAAUUCCUAAACAGAGCUUAAGAAUUCCAAUUUUGUGCCGUAAUUAUAUAACAUCACAUAAUAAUCACAAGUCUAACAUAGAUUCAAACUCAAAGAUGAUCGAUCAAACAUGAAAGAAGCAUAAAUAAACACAGAUCGGACAGUAUCAUGAGUGUUGAGUCAACACAUUUGUAGUGAGCAAGACAGGAACUGCUGUUUAAUGCCACAAAACAGCACGGCAUAAACACACAACACCAUGAGUACAUAAACAAGAGAAAACAUGAAAAAACUAAUAAUAGAGUCGCAAGUUGAGUGCAUGCAUGAAUGUCACUAUGAUAUGAAAAGAGAUUAGCAAGAGUAUUAAAGUUAAUUAGACAGACAUGCGAGGACUAUCAUUAACGUGUGAUGUGUGCAGCACCACCCACUUUAACAAUCUCUUUUUCGUCAUGCUCCUCGACCUUGUCUGGGGUAGGUCUUGCACCGAUUUUUUCCUCAAAGUUAUGGUUUGAUAUUAAUUACAGGGACUAUUACUUUUAGUCAUCCGAAUUCACAUAAUAAUUACUUUCGUUUGUAGUUGAAAAUUCUAUCAUUUUAUUGACACAAUAUUUACUAAUUCAACGAGGAUUUAUGUUCCGGUGAGAGUAUGAUAUACACAAUCCAAUUGAAUACAUUUUCUAGUAAUUCACUGAACUUUUAGAAAUAGUAACUCGAGUGCUCCUCAUUGUCCUCAACUUGGGGAUGGUAAGACGGUUUAUCCUAUAUCCACUUUUAUGCAUUCUUUGGUAUUGUUGGUGUGUUUAGCAUCUACCUAAUUCAAAUUGUGAUAGGGCUGUUAUAUUGUAAAAGUUAUAUGGCAUCUCUAAUAUAUUUUUGUGAAGGGAUUAAAACUAAAACUUUAAAUAGUGGCAUCAGAACUGAUCAUGGAGUUAAACUCCUGAACUCCCGUAAGAAAGACAAGAGAUCAAUCACUGUACCGAUCUUUGUUGGUCACUUUUGGUCUAUUGGUUAAUGGUUAUAUGGUAAAAAGUUUUUUUUUUUUUUUUUUCAAAGCGUGUGCUAAAAAGCUUAAAUAAACGAAACCAAUAGGUUUCUUUCUCCUUUAUAAUAUUUGCUGACAUAUAAUUAUCAUUUUUUAAUUUUUAAAAAUUAGCCAAGGGAGAAUACCAUGAAAAAACCCGAGUAUCCUUCCUAACUAGAGAAGAACACACUAGCAAUUUUCUUUUCAUUUUAGUGUCUUUCCGUUACAGGCAAAUAUAAGAAUAUUCAAAAAAUUAUUAGUACAAAGAACACACUAACAUUUUUUAUUUUUUCUUAAAUUUCAUUUUAACAUGUUUUCCCGUUACAGGUGAAUAUAAGAUCACUUGAAAAAGAUUAUAAUGCGUUCGCGAGGUAAGGAAGGAAGAACACCAAAAGAAAAAAAUCUCACCAUAGUGUUCUCCAUUGCCUGUAGCAUACUGGCGAACAGUUUAAAAAUUCAAUUUGCAUUGUUUUCCCGAAUGGAGGCGUAUUAAGAGCACGGUCAUUUAAAAUUGAGAAAUAAGCACACAUAAAUAUAAAAUCAUUUAAAUUUUAUUAAAAUAGUCAGAUUAAAAAUUUAUUCACAAUAUUUAAUUAUAUAUAAAUGAGAAGUAAUAUUCAAUUCCUUUGUUUUUUGUCAAAAAAGAAUUUAAUACUAGUUUAAAAUUAUGUUUCCAUGACGUGUAGAGUAUAAUUAAGAUAAUUAUUAUAUAACAAAAAGGUACUAGAUUUUACUUUCGGAACUGCUAAUAUAAUUUUUUAUGAAUUGAUUACAAAAUUUUAUAUAUUUAUGUAUAUUAUAUAUCUUUAAAAUCUAUAUUUAAAUUAUAUAUUUAUACAAAGUAUUAAUACUAAAUUUGUAGUGAUAGUUUUAACAUAUAAAAGAGGCCUUCCCCAAAAAAACAUACUAUAAAAGAGGCCCGAAACAUGAGUUCACUUUCAAUAAAUCAAAGAGUUACAAGUUGAAGAAGGUUUAAGGUUUCUUGUGUCUAAUUAAAUUAUUGAUGUCGUUCUUCGUCUGGUUAGUGAGUGGUGAAAUUUGGGCUGGUUCGUUUUGUUCUGGGCCAUUUUAUCUGUUUUCUCGGACGUCUAAUGUUUGAAUUAUAUUUGUUGAUUCUGUUUCUCAAUGAAUUAAAUGUAUAUAUUGAUCUAUUAAUUUUUAUUAAAAAAUAUAUGAGAAGAAUUUAACUUUAUAGACCUUCUUUCAUUUUUGUUCCUCUCGAAUUCAACCUAUUUAAUAAAAUUUUAACUUAUGAUUUAAAAUAAAUAUUAAGUUAUCUACAUUAAGUCAUUAACCAACAAAUAUGUAAUUGUAAUCAAAUCAGAGAUGAUUUCUUUNNNNNNNNNNNNNNNNNNNNNNNNNNNNNNNNNNNNNNNNNNNNNNNNNNNNNNNNNNNNNNNNNNNNNNNNNNNNNNNNNNNNNNNNNNNNNNNNNNNNNNNNNNNNNNNNNNNNNNNNNNNNNNNNNNNNNNNNNNNNNNNNNNNNNNNNNNNNNNNNNNNNNNNNNNNNNNNNNNNNNNNNNNNNNNNNNNNNNNNNNNNNNNNNNNNNNNNNNNNNNNNNNNNNNNNNNNNNNNNNNNNNNNNNNNNNNNNNNNNNNNNNNNNNNNNNNNNNNNNNNNNNNNNNNNNNNNNNNNNNNNNNNNNNNNNNNNNNNNNNNNNNNNNNNNNNNNNNNNNNNNNNNNNNNNNNNNNNNNNNNNNNNNNNNNNNNNNNNNNNNNNNNNNNNNNNNNNNNNNNNNNNNNNNNNNNNNNNNNNNNNNNNNNNNNNNNNNNNNNNNNNNNNNNNNNNNNNNNNNNNNNNNNNNNNNNNNNNNNNNNNNNNNNNNNNNNNNNNNNNNNNNNNNNNNNNNNNNNNNNNNNNNNNNNNNNNNNNNNNNNNNNNNNNNNNNNNNNNNNNNNNNNNNNNNNNNNNNNNNNNNNNNNNNNNNNNNNNNNNNNNNNNNNNNNNNNNNNNNNNNNNNNNNNNNNNNNNNNNNNNNNNNNNNNNNNNNNNNNNNNNNNNNNNNNNNNNNNNNNNNNNNNNNNNNNNNNNNNNNNNNNNNNNNNNNNNNNNNNNNNNNNNNNNNNNNNNNNNNNNNNNNNNNNNNNNNNNNNNNNNNNNNNNNNNNNNNNNNNNNNNNNNNNNNNNNNNNNNNNNNNNNNNNNNNNNNNNNNNNNNNNNNNNNNNNNNNNNNNNNNNNNNNNNNNNNNNNNNNNNNNNNNNNNNNNNNNNNNNNNNNNNNNNNNNNNNNNNNNNNNNNNNNNNNNNNNNNNNNNNNNNNNNNNNNNNNNNNNNNNNNNNNNNNNNNNNNNNNNNNNNNNNNNNNNNNNNNNNNNNNNNNNNNNNNNNNNNNNNNNNNNNNNNNNNNNNNNNNNNNNNNNNNNNNNNNNNNNNNNNNNNNNNNNNNNNNNNNNNNNNNNNNNNNNNNNNNNNNNNNNNNNNNNNNNNNNNNNNNNNNNNNNNNNNNNNNNNNNNNNNNNNNNNNNNNNNNNNNNNNNNNNNNNNNNNNNNNNNNNNNNNNNNNNNNNNNNNNNNNNNNNNNNNNNNNNNNNNNNNNNNNNNNNNNNNNNNNNNNNNNNNNNNNNNNNNNNNNNNNNNNNNNNNNNNNNNNNNNNNNNNNNNNNNNNNNNNNNNNNNNNNNNNNNNNNNNNNNNNNNNNNNNNNNNNNNNNNNNNNNNNNNNNNNNNNNNNNNNNNNNNNNNNNNNNNNNNNNNNNNNNNNNNNNNNNNNNNNNNNNNNNNNNNNNNNNNNNNNNNNNNNNNNNNNNNNNNNNNNNNNNNNNNNNNNNNNNNNNNNNNNNNNNNNNNNNNNNNNNNNNNNNNNNNNNNNNNNNNNNNNNNNNNNNNNNNNNNNNNNNNNNNNNNNNNNNNNNNNNNNNNNNNNNNNNNNNNNNNNNNNNNNNNNNNNNNNNNNNNNNNNNNNNNNNNNNNNNNNNNNNNNNNNNNNNNNNNNNNNNNNNNNNNNNNNNNNNNNNNNNNNNNNNNNNNNNNNNNNNNNNNNNNNNNNNNNNNNNNNNNNNNNNNNNNNNNNNNNNNNNNNNNNNNNNNNNNNNNNNNNNNNNNNNNNNNNNNNNNNNNNNNNNNNNNNNNNNNNNNNNNNNNNNNNNNNNNNNNNNNNNNNNNNNNNNNNNNNNNNNNNNNNNNNNNNNNNNNNNNNNNNNNNNNNNNNNNNNNNNNNNNNNNNNNNNNNNNNNNNNNNNNNNNNNNNNNNNNNNNNNNNNNNNNNNNNNNNNNNNNNNNNNNNNNNNNNNNNNNNNNNNNNNNNNNNNNNNNNNNNNNNNNNNNNNNNNNNNNNNNNNNNNNNNNNNNNNNNNNNNNNNNNNNNNNNNNNNNNNNNNNNNNNNNNNNNNNNNNNNNNNNNNNNNNNNNNNNNNNNNNNNNNNNNNNNNNNNNNNNNNNNUCAAGAAAGUUAUAUUUGAUUGUAUUCAGUUGAACAAUAAACUUACAAAUAUUUUUAGAAAUCGAUAAAUUAUAAAAAAAUACUUUUAGAAAAUGCUAUCUGAGAGGGGUGGCAAUAUCAGACACGACCCGAAACCCGACACGAACCCGACCCAACCCGAAACCCGAUUUACUGAGACAGAAACCCGAAAGUGACCCGAAAAUCACCCGACAGACCCGAAAUGGACCCGAAAUGACCCGAAACUAGAAUUUCAUUUGUAAUAACUUCAAUUUUUGGUUUUAUUCAAUUUUAAGUGAUUUUAGGUUGACCCGAAAUCGACCCGAUUGCUGACACGAACACGACCCGUUACCCGAAAUCGACCCGAUUGCUUGGUGCAGACAGCAGCAAAUAUAGAGUUGGGUAUGGGCCAAAAUUUAGGUGAAAAUUCGCGAUAAGUCUAAGCUCCGGGUGUUGGUUACCAUUCAUUUAAAUUUAUCAAAAACGACAAGCACCAUGUAGAUGCAUAGAUGACAUGUUAGAGGUGAAAACAGAAGAUAUGUGGAUAUAAAAUGGAUAAGUAGGAACUUUUCAUUUCACUUAUAAGAGAAGUGGUAUGACGGUUGUUCCACUUGAACUCUACGCAAAUAUAGGAUAUAUAAAAGACUUGACCGACCAAAAAAUUCCAAUUAGUUUAGGUAUGGGCGAAAACGAAUUGAGAUUUGUGAACACAAGGCUAUCUAGUUGGGUGUAGUUGGCGUUACACCAAGAAACAACCCAUAUGGCUUAUCUUCUUCCGCUCCCUGGCUCUAACUUGUCCGCCAGAUCUUGCCUCGUCUAUCUAUCUGCAAAUCUAUAACCUUAAGUUACUAGUACUAAAUUUUUGGUUUCCUGUUCCAUGUAUAAUUGUCUCUCAUAGAGAAAAGGUAUCUUAAUUAUAAAUGAUUUAUUUUCUUAAUCAUCCGGUUAUCAAAUAUGUGUUUAAAUUAAAGAAAUAACAAAAAUGACAAUAAAAAGUAUUUACUGGAAAUAAUAUUCAAAAAAUUGUUUUGACAAUAGAGAAAACAAUUUAGAAUCUACAUUAUUUAACAUAUUCUAGCUAGUUAGUAAGUACAUAAUGUGCAUGUUUGGGCAACUCUAAUAAUUCCCUUUUUUAUAUAUAAUUUUUUUGAAUAUAAAUGUUAAAAAGAUGUUUCGUAUUCGUUAUUUGACAAAAAAAUAAAAAUUUCUUUGAGAAGAAAGUAGAAUUUUAUUUACUUUUUUCUAAUAAUAAAUCCGUCUGAGGAAAAAAAUCAAUUGAAGAGAAAUUAAUGGUUAAAAACAAGAUUAGACAAAUAAUCCAAAUAUCAAGUGCGAAAGAGGAAAUUGAUGUUUUCGACAACUGUGAUCUAAAAAUUUAAAUUUAGAUCAUUCAUUGUUUUGAUCAGUACCAAAAGCAUAAUCCAAAUUACUAUUUAUAUAUUAUAUUAAAUUACUUAAUCUUAAAUUUAGUGUUUAAUCAUCAUAUAUUAUUUUAUUAUAUUUGAUAAAUUAUUUAAAUUAAAAAUAUUAUUUUAAUAUAUGUAACUGAAUUAAAAACAUUAUUUUACUCUUCAACUGCUAAAACUUAUGGUUACGGGUGAGCUAGAGCUACUAUGAUGUGGGCAAUCGUGAAGACAGUUGAAAGGCAAUAUAUCCAACUCGGCCGGCCUGUCGACAUGUUUGGAUCAAUCUUAACGAUAUAAUACUGAAUGUUUUGUUAUACUUACAAUAAUAAUGAUGGAAUAUUGAAAAUCUGUAGGCUUUUGCAACAAAUGCAAAUCAUAAAUCAUUUAACCCACUCAAUCAAAAACUCAAAAACAUUUAAUUAGUACAUCAUUAAUCAUUUAACUCACUAAACAAAAAAGCAUGUUUAAGGAUUAAAACUCAAAGCGAGUUAAUAAAAACCCAUUACGAUUCACCAUUCUCAUAAAUCAAGUAACCAUUUCAGAUAAUUAAUCCUAAACUAGGACAUUCAUUUUUUUAUUUAAAGUGUAAUUAACAAAAUAAGGAUAAUUUUAUUUCCCAACUUGCAUCGUAUCAUAUAUUUUAAAUAAAAACAAUGCAUAAAAUAGAGAAAAUAGAGAGGUGGCAUCAUAACCCUCUCACAUAUCUGUCCACAAAAUUUUCUCAACACAUGUCUCCAUAGAAAAAAAAAAGAUAUUUCAAUCCCUUCCCCUAAAUUCCUAAACAGAGCUUAAGAAUUCCAAUUUUGUGCCGUAAUUAUAUAACAUCACAUAAUAAUCACAAGUCUAACAUAGAUUCAAACUCAAAGAUGAUCGAUCAAACAUGAAAGAAGCAUAAAUAAACACAGAUCGGACAGUAUCAUGAGUGUUGAGUCAACACAUUUGUAGUGAGCAAGACAGGAACUGCUGUUUAAUGCCACAAAACAGCACGGCAUAAACACACAACACCAUGAGUACAUAAACAAGAGAAAACAUGAAAAAACUAAUAAUAGAGUCGCAAGUUGAGUGCAUGCAUGAAUGUCACUAUGAUAUGAAAAGAGAUUAGCAAGAGUAUUAAAGUUAAUUAGACAGACAUGCGAGGACUAUCAUUAACGUGUGAUGUGUGCAGCACCACCCACUUUAACAAUCUCUUUUUCGUCAUGCUCCUCGACCUUGUCUGGGGUAGGUCUUGCACCGAUUUUUUCCUCAAAGUUAUGGUUUGAUAUUAAUUACAGGGACUAUUACUUUUAGUCAUCCGAAUUCACAUAAUAAUUACUUUCGUUUGUAGUUGAAAAUUCUAUCAUUUUAUUGACACAAUAUUUACUAAUUCAACGAGGAUUUAUGUUCCGGUGAGAGUAUGAUAUACACAAUCCAAUUGAAUACAUUUUCUAGUAAUUCACUGAACUUUUAGAAAUAGUAACUCGAGUGCUCCUCAUUGUCCUCAACUUGGGGAUGGUAAGACGGUUUAUCCUAUAUCCACUUUUAUGCAUUCUUUGGUAUUGUUGGUGUGUUUAGCAUCUACCUAAUUCAAAUUGUGAUAGGGCUGUUAUAUUGUAAAAGUUAUAUGGCAUCUCUAAUAUAUUUUUGUGAAGGGAUUAAAACUAAAACUUUAAAUAGUGGCAUCAGAACUGAUCAUGGAGUUAAACUCCUGAACUCCCGUAAGAAAGACAAGAGAUCAAUCACUGUACCGAUCUUUGUUGGUCACUUUUGGUCUAUUGGUUAAUGGUUAUAUGGUAAAAAGUUUUUUUUUUUUUUUUUUUCAAAGCGUGUGCUAAAAAGCUUAAAUAAACGAAACCAAUAGGUUUCUUUCUCCUUUAUAAUAUUUGCUGACAUAUAAUUAUCAUUUUUUAAUUUUUAAAAAUUAGCCAAGGGAGAAUACCAUGAAAAAACCCGAGUAUCCUUCCUAACUAGAGAAGAACACACUAGCAAUUUUCUUUUCAUUUUAGUGUCUUUCCGUUACAGGCAAAUAUAAGAAUAUUCAAAAAAUUAUUAGUACAAAGAACACACUAACAUUUUUUAUUUUUUCUUAAAUUUCAUUUUAACAUGUUUUCCCGUUACAGGUGAAUAUAAGAUCACUUGAAAAAGAUUAUAAUGCGUUCGCGAGGUAAGGAAGGAAGAACACCAAAAGAAAAAAAUCUCACCAUAGUGUUCUCCAUUGCCUGUAGCAUACUGGCGAACAGUUUAAAAAUUCAAUUUGCAUUGUUUUCCCGAAUGGAGGCGUAUUAAGAGCACGGUCAUUUAAAAUUGAGAAAUAAGCACACAUAAAUAUAAAAUCAUUUAAAUUUUAUUAAAAUAGUCAGAUUAAAAAUUUAUUCACAAUAUUUAAUUAUAUAUAAAUGAGAAGUAAUAUUCAAUUCCUUUGUUUUUUGUCAAAAAAGAAUUUAAUACUAGUUUAAAAUUAUGUUUCCAUGACGUGUAGAGUAUAAUUAAGAUAAUUAUUAUAUAACAAAAAGGUACUAGAUUUUACUUUCGGAACUGCUAAUAUAAUUUUUUAUGAAUUGAUUACAAAAUUUUAUAUAUUUAUGUAUAUUAUAUAUCUUUAAAAUCUAUAUUUAAAUUAUAUAUUUAUACAAAGUAUUAAUACUAAAUUUGUAGUGAUAGUUUUAACAUAUAAAAGAGGCCUUCCCCAAAAAAACAUACUAUAAAAGAGGCCCGAAACAUGAGUUCACUUUCAAUAAAUCAAAGAGUUACAAGUUGAAGAAGGUUUAAGGUUUCUUGUGUCUAAUUAAAUUAUUGAUGUCGUUCUUCGUCUGGUUAGUGAGUGGUGAAAUUUGGGCUGGUUCGUUUUGUUCUGGGCCAUUUUAUCUGUUUUCUCGGACGUCUAAUGUUUGAAUUAUAUUUGUUGAUUCUGUUUCUCAAUGAAUUAAAUGUAUAUAUUGAUCUAUUAAUUUUUAUUAAAAAAUAUAUGAGAAGAAUUUAACUUUAUAGACCUUCUUUCAUUUUUGUUCCUCUCGAAUUCAACCUAUUUAAUAAAAUUUUAACUUAUGAUUUAAAAUAAAUAUUAAGUUAUCUACAUUAAGUCAUUAACCAACAAAUAUGUAAUUGUAAUCAAAUCAGAGAUGAUUUCUUUAAAAAAAAAAAAAAAAACAGAGAUAAAUAUACGACUACAUAGUUGUCCGCACUGAUUAGUAAUUCAUAUCAAGUACAACCUCCCAUCCCAUGAUAAUCCACAAAUUCAUGAUAAAUAUAUGAUUGCCUAAAGAUAUAAUCGACCAAAUUCAAAUAACCUCAAGACAACCACGAAUUUCACUCGUUUACACUUGCUAAGAUUUUCAAAUAUUUUAAAGUUUCCUUUACUCUCCUGUGAGCUGUGAUGGCGAUUACUGAUUACAGAUGACCUUCAAACUCAUAGCUAAUUUGGAUCGCUUGUUGCACAGCUCACACAAAAUCACCUUCCAGAUUUCCUUGAGAUCCCUUUUGAAUUUUCUGCUAGAAUAUUUCGCUAUGACCUUAUAUGUACAUAAUGUGUAGGAAGCGGAUAGUAGAAGCGACCAGGUAAUAGAAACCUCAACCAAAAUCUCAAGACCUACAAAACUUGAUCUUUUCUUGUGCUAUACCAUUUACUUCAAAGGAGAAACACUUUAUAUGCUGCCUUCUGUUGUUGACUACUUAUAACUUUCAUAAAGCGUGAAGCAUAACUUACAUCAUUUAGUUCUUGAAGCUAAUCUACUGUCCACAAGUUGCCAGGAAUUAAUAUACCUAUUGCUUCUUCGCGAUUUCUUCAGUAUCCUCGACUAGAAUGUCAAGUUUUUUCUGCUGAAUAUUUCCUCUGCAUUAAACUAAUUCCUCAACCUCUUUUCCCAAUCCCUAAAUACGGUUCUCUAAUCCCGGAUUUAGUUUACUCAGUUAUUCCGUUUACAUAAAUCACAAUUAUCUGCAACAAUUUUACGCCAAAAACCAUCUAAUUCUCAGUUUCAAAGAGGCCAGACAUCAUAUAACAGACUGCAUAACUUGAGCCUUGAAAAACAUCUUUUCAUCCCUAUUUGAAAAAAGAUUCAAUAUAUAACCACAUAUGUAACCUCAUUGAGUAAGAAAACACAUCAAAAUAGAACUCUUGAGAAUCAUAAUGUUAAUGCAAGAUAAAUAUCAGUACAAAGUCUUUAGAUAUCAUGUGAAUUCAUAAAUAUAUCAUUGUUUCAGAACUGUGAAAUCAUAACUGUAUCAGAACCAAGAAUUAAAGAAUUAAUGAAUGAUGUAUAAAGAAUGAAACAAUGUGUUCAGCUGAGCCGCUAAUUAUUCUUUUUUCCUAAGAUUUAACUACGCUCUAGAUGAAAUCAACAAUAUAGUCGCUAUGUAAAUUUCCUGAUAUGCUAAUGUUAAGUCACUCUGUCAGACAAACUCCAGACUAUCAACAAAAUUGUCUCAAUGGAAUCAGCAUAACACUGAUGUCAUCAAGGGAGCCUCGCGAAACAGAUAGUUCUGCCAGCUUUUUACACACAGCAACUCCUUCAAGCUUAUCUAUGCCUUCACCAUUAGAACGAACCGCAUUCACUGCUUCCUGAUUACUAACCUGUCAAUUAAAAAAUACAAGUCAGGCGCCUGCCUUCGAAAACUAAAACAACCUUAUAGCAAUUCCAUUAUAUUGCAGAUAAUUGAGAGAAAUAUGAUGUAAUUAACAUAUACCUUAUCCCAUAAACCAUCAGAAGCAAGGAUCAAGAACUCAAAAUCAGGUUCAAUUGCAACGAUCUUCGUUUCUGGUUCAGCUGUCACCCAUUGCUUUAGGUGUUGAUCUCCAAUUCCCCUAGACACGGCCAAAGAUCCUUGAAUUCUCCAAACCCCUGCGCGACCACAAUCUACAUAACCACCCUGCAUAACCAUGUAAACAAUACCAUGAGUUUAAAGAAAAUAUACAACAAAAUUGACAGAACUCAAAAAGGAAGGACACGUACCAGUGCCUCGAUUCUACUUUUUUCAUCCUGCCUUGAAGGCCGGUGAUCUGAUGUAAGUGCCUCCCCAACUCCAUUUCUGCUAACAACAGCACGGCAGUCCCCGGCAUUUGAAACCACAAGCUCCCCCUUCCUGAUCAAUGCAGUAACACAACACGAUCCCCCUUGAGAACCCUCCUUGAGAAACUCUGAAUCAGUCAUCAAAUACCCGCGCUUGACAGCUGCCUCGAUAUCUUGAUCAGCCAUUUUCCCUACUUGAUCAAUCACAUUCUUAUCCAAAUUCGAAGCUGCAAACUCAGCAGCCUUUGCACCUCCAUGUCCAUCAUAAAUACCAAACAUAGCCUACAUACACAAUAACAUAAACAAUUUAGUAACCUUGUCAAUCUAAAAUACAUAAAUCAUAUCACAAUCUUACUAAUCUAAUGCACCAUAAAACAAACCCCCAAAAAUCUACUCAAAAUUCAAUCAAAAAAAAACACCCAAAUACAUUUAAUUAACACAAUCAAAAACAAAAAGACAUAUAUAAUAUAUAGUUGUAAUAAAUAAAAAUUAUACCUGUUUAGAAUCUUCAUGAAUGUUGAGCUUAGCAGAGUAACGAUCCUCCAUGAAUUCUCUCCUCCCUCGUUUACAAUAAACAGAAUAGCCAUCUCCCUCCACCUCCACCGCCUCUCUCCUCCUCUCCUCCGCCGCCCUCGGCGUGUCCACAUCAAACCCAAAGCUCAAAUUCGCCACCGGAAUAUCCAGCUUGGCCGGCCUCUUCCGCUUCGAAAAAGUCGGCGAAGAAGUCGCUACAGACCCGCUCGAAACGGUGUCGUUAGAAGCCCUAAUCAGCCCACUCGGCGGCUUCCGGAGCUUCGACGGGGAGUGAGUCAGCGUCAGCUUUUCCGGCGAGGAGGCGAGAGAAGUUGGUUUGCAGAAGUGGGCCAGGGACGAGGCUGAUGACGGCGAAAAAACCGGUGAGCGUGCAACGGUACAAGACAUAUUACUUGUGUGUUCUAACGUUCGAAUUAUUUUGUGUCUCAGAUGUUUUAGAUUUUAGAUGUUUGAUGAGAUGUAUGUAUCGGUAUGCGUGUAUAUAUAUAGGUGGACUGAGGAGGGGUUUCCUAUGUGGCUAUGUUGUCGUUGGGAAGCCUCUGCUGUGGGGCCAUCCCUGUGACUCAAUAUCCGUGUUAAAGGAGUGUGUUUUUAAGAUUUUACAUUUUAGUACACUCUCUUGACCAAUAGUUUUAUUUCAAACAUCUACCAGAUUUUAUUUUCUUGAUACUCUUAUGGAUAUUUUAUGUAUCUUUUUAUUAUGAUAUCUAAAUAAAAUCUAUAAAUUACUAAAUAUAAAAACAGAUACUCUAUUAUAUGCAUCAGAUUACUUUUUUUGAACGGCUUCAAAAUCCAUUUAAUAUGUGUUGGAUUUUUCUUUUAAAAUUUAUAAUACCCCGUAGCUAACAAAAUUUCUGAGUCAAUGACAAUUUAUGGCGGAUAUUCUUAAAUAUUAUGGUCACGAGGAUUAUAACAUAAGCAUUAAAUUUUAUUAGAUGUGUACAAUUUUAUAAAAUCUAAUAAAAUUCAAACAUAAACUUCUUAAUAUAUAAAUAUAAUAGUGUAAAAAUUUUGAAGAAUUACCGAUUUAUCAUGUCAAUAUUGUUAAAACAUAAAUUACGUUUAGUCGAAGCGGGUCGAGUUUUCCAUUUCCCCAUGUUAGAGCAUCUCCAACCAUCUAAAGCCCUUGGCUAAAAGGUGAGUUGGCAUACUUAAAAUAAAAAGAUUUAGCCAACAGCUCCAAAAACUCAACUCUAACCAUGAUCAGCUGUUGUCUAUAAAUUUAGCCAACCUCCUAUGGAUGGCUAAAUUUGUCGAACCUCUACAGGUCUGUAAGAAAAUCUGUAGGAAGAUUGUACAUCAUUUAUUACCAUAUUGAACUGAUAUAUUCUAUUUUAACAAUUUAAAAUAUUAAUAACAUACUAUUUUUAAAUUAUAGCCAACCAAUAUAGCCAGUACCAUUGAAGCAAAAUGUCAUACAGGUUCAACAAAUUUUACAUAAUAUUUUAUAGGUCCAAUUUAGCCAACGAUUAUAGCCAACGCCGUUGGAGAUGCUCUUAUCCACCGUAAAUUUGUACUACGGAGUACUUGUUAUGAUUGAUUACAACUGUGGUGUGUAAUAUUAAAUAGAGUUUUUUUUUUUUUUGAAAGCAAUAUUAAAUAGAGUUAAUUACGCUUUGUAAUUCCUAAAUUUGCUCCAAACGCAGUUUAGUACUUGAACUUUAAAAUCUGGUAAUAUGCACCAUAAACUUAACAUUACCGUGUAAGUUGUAACCCCUAGUCACUAUUCUGUCCAAAUCUGCCGUUAACUUUAACCAUUUGAGAGGUAAUAGUGUGUAUAUUAGUUUCCAACAGCUACUUUACUCCCGUGACCCCUAAAAAAUUAUGUAUUAUAUUUUGAAAAUAUUUUUGAACACACACAAUGAUGUAAAAAAAUUUUAAAAAAUUUUAAAAAUAUGCAUCUAGAUUUAGAAUCUGAAAAUUUAUUUUUUUUACAUAAACGAUGUAACUUAUUUUAAAAUUUUAAAAUAAAAACAUAUUUUAAAAAUUAUUUUAACUUUUUUUGCAUUGUUGUGUGUGUUCAGAAUUAAUUUCAAAAUAUAAUACAUAAACUUUGAGGGGUCGCAUGAGGUAAAGUAGCUGUUAAAAACUAAAUAUACACACUGUUACCUCUCAAACAGUCAAAGUUAACGGCAAAUUUGGACGGAAUAGUGACCAGAGUUACAACUUGCACAAGAAUAUUAAGUUUAGGGUGCAUAUUGGCACAUUUUAAAGUUCGAGUACUAAGAGCAACUCCAAAGAGCUCUCUAAACAAGCUCCUAAGUCUAAAUUUUAGGAGCAAAUCAAAUUUUAGUGCUCCAAUGGGCUCGUAGAUGCUCUUUAAAAAUUUAAGAGCUUACUCUAUCUCCUUUCUUUUAAAGAGUAUCUAGUAGCUCCUAACCCAAUAUUAUAUUAAUUUCCCUUCAAUCUUCUCUAUCUUUUAGUUAACUUUUUCCUCUCAUUUAUAUAAAAUAUGAAUAAGGAGCAAGUAUAAAGAGUUCCAUUGGAGUUCUCAUGCUUUUUAGUGUAUUAACUUACUAGGAGCCACAUUUUAUAUUAUUGUUUAAGGAAUGAUUUAGGAGCACCGUUGGAGAUGCUCCAAACAGCAUUUGGAGCAAAUUUAGGGCUUACAAAUUAUAAUUAACUCUUAUAUUUAUAACUUAAUUGGUCUUCUUAUAGUAAGUAAAAAUCCUUACUCUCAGUGCAUAUGUUUAAAGGUCAAAUAAAAUCCAAUUUUUAUGUAAAAUUGUCUUGAUUUUUUUUACAUAAUUUUACAUAAUAUAUAUACUAGAAGUUAUUCUUAAGUAUUGUUCUUAUUUUUUGGAUCCUUUGAAUUGUAGAGGAUUCAGGCCUUUGCGAAUAUUAAUGAUGUUCUAGCUUUUCCGGAAAAAAACACUAGAAGUUAUUCUUCUCAUUUUAAAUAAUGAAAUUAUAUAAUUAAUAUCCACGAAAAUAAUAUAUUUAAAUAUAUUGUUAGAGUGCUAAAAAGUUAUAUAUAUUAUAUAUAGUUAAAAUACCUGAGAAAUUAUCUUCCGCAUCGUUAAAAAUAUGUGAAUAUUUAGAGAAAAAAAAAGGUGUACCAUGAAUUUGGGGGCGGUAGAAUAAAAAGAGGAAGUGGGGUCCAUAGUCAGCAAGAAAGAAAAGAAGUACAGGGUCAAACACGUAACGUAGUUUAACUACGGGGCGAUGAAUGGGCUGUGGGCCCAUUGUUUAUUAGGGAAGGUUAGCUAAACGGGUGUUACAAAUCGGAUGAGUGUUGUGUUGGUAUUAACUGUGUUUAAAUAUGAAAACGAGUUGAAGGAUUUUCUUCGUCUGCUGUCUUUAUAUCUCUUUCCUUCGCGGUGAUGUUGAUAAACUAUAUUCAUAGAAUUAUUAUUGCGCGUUUUUUGUUUGCUUUUCUUCUGUGUUGUUUCCUUUCUGUUCCCGCUAUUGAUUUUUGCUUCUGUUUCCUUUUAUUAGUCAUUCUCUCCUAUUCGAUUCCCAUACUAUUCAAUACAAAUCAGGGGAGGAGCCGGAAGGCACAGUCAAGGAGUCUGAAAAAUAAUUUCAUAAAAAAAAUAUUAUAGAUUGAACCUAAAUUACAAUAAUACAAAUAUCACAAAAUUUUAAAAUUGUACUUAUAAUUCACAAUAUACUCUAUAAAAGAUGAAUACAAAAUCUUUGAUUUAAAUUCACACAAUUUCGACAUCUGAGUAAUUUAAUUUCUAGUCGCAACUGUUUUGGAUUUAAAGCAGCUUGAUAAUUAAAUGGGUACCAGUAGGAUACGUGAUUUAAACUAAGGAACGGGUUUUCGAAAUGAGAUAAAGAGAGUAUUUUUAUGCAUUCGUCACUCAAUGAUCUCAAACUGUUGAUUAUAGGGUGUAAUAGAAGAUCCGAAAAAAUAAAUUAUUUGUGGAUUGUGUUAUAAAAUCAUAAAAAAUUGCAUGUUCCCUCUUAAUUUUUUGUUAAUCCAAUGGAACUUAAAGCCAUACUUUUCAAUUUAUGAAGAAAAUAUCUAAGUUUCUAAAACUACAAUCUUAACAAAUUUAGGGUGCUGUGCACCUAAAAACCUGGCCACAAUUUUUAAAACAAGUCAAAAGAAAACAUUUGUUAUGCAAGUUCAUUGCAUAACAACGCAACCUACUUUUGCUGAUACUCCCUCCGUCCCACCCAUUUCUUAUCAAAUGGGUUGGGCACGGAGGUUAAGGAAUAUGUAUAAAGCAAUGGAAAAGAGGAAGAAAAGUGGGUAAAGUGGUGGGACCCAUUGAUUUUUAAUGUAUAAAAAGAAGAUAGUGGAGUAAAAGUAGUGUGAAAAGGAAAGAAAAGUGGAGAAGUGGUGGGACCCAUUGACUAUUUUUGGUAAGUUUUGAAAUGUAAAGAAUUGGAUGGGACACCCCAAAAAGGAAAGUGUAAAGAAAUGGGUUGGACGGAAGGAGUAUAUUCUUGUCAGGGUAUCUAUGCAGACAUUUGAGGUGCCUCAUUCUCUGUUUCCGAUCAUUUGUGUACGUGUUUCAAUUUUAUUACUUCCUGUGUUUCUCUUAUUUCUUUACGGUUAUUAUUUUGGGAUGUCCCUUUCAUUUCUUUACAUUACCAUAAAUAUUAUCAUUACACCCACUAUAUUCCCCCACUAUCUCAUAUUUAACAAUAAAAACUACUAUUACACCCACUACUUUCCUCCACUAUCUCAAAUUUAUUAUUAAAUAUUGAUGGGUCCCACCACUUUACCCACUUUUCAUCUAACUUUACUCAUUUUUCAUACAUUGUCUUGGUCUCCGUGUCCCCCCUCCAAUGUAAACAAUUGAGGGGGACGGAGGGAGUAAAGGUUUUCUUUCUUUAAUGUUUUUGAAAUAAAUUGAAUGCAAUAUAAAAAAUCGUACAAAUUAUGGGCCGACACCACAUAAAACAGAACUCAACAAUUACAACUCGAAUUAAACUGCCACAUUCAAAAAUCACCUAUUCACAAAAAUUUAUCUACAAGUGUGAUUCUUUUUUUUUUUUUUAAGGUCUACAUUCGUAGAUGAAUUGUAUCGAAAUACAAUAAACUGCAUCUGGGAUUUCUUUCUUUCAAGAAAGUUUAUCAUCUAACCGAAAGUCAUGCAAGCAUAACUCCGGACGCUUAGACAAUAAAGCUUAAAUGAAUUGGAAAAGAAAAACCCAUAAGUCCCGUAACAGCUCGCUUCCAAAGUAUCCUGAAAAAAACAAAUCAAACAAAACAUAAAUCAAUACACAAGAAAAUCACGGGCAUAUAUAUAAACAAAAGAUUAUAUAUAACAAAAAUAGAUAGAAAAUAAAAUAAUAUAAAAAUAUUAAUUAAUUUCUAACCAAAGGAUAAUCCUUUGGUUAGACACAUGAAAAUUAAAAAUUUAAGUGAAGAAUAAAAACAAAGUUUAAAACGUAAUUAAAUAUAUUAAAUAUAAUGAUCUACAAAAUGGUAAACAAAGCCAUAAAAAUCGCAUCCAUAAGUGGAACAAAAAGCCAUCAACGGCAUAAUGAAGCCAUUAAAGGCACAAUAAAAUCAUUCUUAAUGACUCUCAUAAAUGGCACUGAAUAUUCAUAAAAAGUAUUUAUCCAAUCACAAUCAUAAUUUAAAAUGUAGCUAUUCAAAUUAAUGCUAAUAGAGACAAAUAAUAAAUAGUCAACAAAACGGAUCCCGUAAUUAAAGCCAAUCCAAUUUAAAAAUAGAAUUAUAGCCUAAAAAUCAAAUUCAUAAUAAUUAUGAAUUCAAAAACGUAACGGAUUCAGCCGCCGGUACAACCACCGCUACACCACCAUCACCACCACCGACCAAGAUGUUACAUAGUUCUAACAUAUUGUGAUUUAUAAGAAAUCGAAAACAUAAAUCACAUCUAAAUGAUAAAUCAAAAACCUAAUUCACACAAAUUCACACAGACACUAAAAAAUCAAUUAAAAAGAAACAAGAUUUCAAUUUUCUUACAAACAAUACAAACAACACUAAUCUGAAUCAGUUAAAAAGAUAGAAACAGAAAUAUAUGAUAAAAGAAUAAAGGGUUGCAUCAUCAGAAUACAGACAAGAGAUUCCAUACCAAAUGAAGUUGGUUUCACACAGAACAGACACAAUAACACAAGUUGUAGCAUAAGAAGAACAAAGAAUCUGUGUGUGUGUGAGUGUGUGAAUCAGUAGAGAGAUUUAGUAUUAGUACGUAUCUGCCAACAUGAGAGGGGGAGGUUCGAAGAGGAAGUGAAAGACCACGAGUUUUGUCGGUAGUGUGCCUGAAAUCAAUCUCGGAGAGUCCGGGAGCGGCGAUAACUUGAACGGGAUCGCCCGAGCAUGGAUGAGAUGAUGGGAUGGAUUUGAACAUUUGCACCAUGUUUGUUUAAAAAUGCUCUAAUCCGUUUCCUAGAUAUAAUUAGGGUUAUAUGUAUAAAUAUACUUAAAAUUUGGAAUUUUGAAUAAAAUUGUAAUUGGCUUCUGUUGAAGAUUGGUAUGGAAGUCUUGAGUUUGGGUGUGGCAGGAGGGAGGGCGGAGCAUCGUCCGGCGGCUAACGCCGGCGAACGCCGCGAGCGGAGUGGUGCAAGGCGGUGGUGGGCUUGAACAGUAGAGAGAUGGGCUGUUCUGGUAGAGGCCGCCGGAGCGGUGUCGGUUGGCCGGCGGCACUGAUGGUGAUAGGUGGAAAAGAUAGAGGAGAAUUGAAUGAAUAUAGUGUGAUUCUUUUUAGAUUACAAAGAAUAGCAAUAUGAGAAAUUACUACAACCAGCAAACAAAAUGCAGGCUCUUGAGGACCUGGUUAGAUUGAAUUUGCGCAGGACCUGUCAAAUGCAAAUUUAACAGUCAUAUUGCAAAUAUUUAUGUAAACCAUUAAUAAUAGAGAUAAAUAUCAAGUUGGUGACUCGUUUCGUCCAAAUGUAUCAAUUGAGUGACUGAUUUCCAAAUUGACUCAAAUUAGACACUCAUUAGAAAAAUUUGUAUUAAAAAUAUUACUCUAUCGUUAGUCGAAAUUUUGAAAAUAUUAUAUAUUGAGUUUCACACAUUUUUUAUGAAUGAUAUUACAUCCGAAUGAAAGAUUCUGAGUCCUACUAUUUUUGCUAAUAUUUUUAGAUUUUUAAAAUUUUAUCAACUAUUUAUUUUUAAUUUUUUGAUUGUUUUAUUUGAUUUAAAUAAAAAUAAAUAGGAGAUAAAUUUUUAAAAAUCUAAAAAUAUUAUCUAAAAUACUAGAACUCGGAAUCUUUCAUUUAGAUGUAAUACCAUUCAUAAAAAAUGUGCGAAACUCAAUAUAUAGUACUUUCAAAAUUUCGACUAACGAUAGAGUGAUAUUUUUGAUACAAAUUUUUCUAAUGCGUGACUCAUUUGAGUCAAUUUAAAAAUCAGUCACUCAAUUGAUACAUUUGGACGAAACGAAUCACCAACUUGAUAUUUAUCCCAAUAAUAAUAAUAAUAUCUUAAUUGCAUUUGAAGGGCCUCAGAGAUCUUGGUGGACAGAUAUCAUCAGAUGGAGCAUAAACCCCAUCAAGAGUAGCAAAUAUCUUUCUUACAUCACCAGCCCACUUUUAAUCAUGAAAAAAUAUUCAAAAAAAAUAAUUUGAAAUAAGGAGAGUUAGAGCAACUCCAACAGCUUACUUAUAUCAUGUCCUAAAUCCAAUUAUAAGGAAUGUGACAUAAAUUAGUGCUCCAGCAGUGUCUUAAGAAUAUGUCCAAUUAUAAGGAAUGUGACAUAAAUUAGUGCUCCAGCAGUGUCUUAAGAAUAUCUUAAAUCACUACGAUCCUCCUUCCAUGCCUUAUUAAUGAGGCACCACUAGCCAUGCCUUAUUUGAUUUCUUUAAUAAAAAAAUCAUCUCUCUCUUAUUGUAACUUAUUUUCUCUCUCUUCCUUCCAUCUUUUAUCAAUCUCUUUCCAAAUUUAUUAUUAUAAUAAUAAUAAGAAAUGAAUUAUAAAGAUCAUUGUUGGAGUUGAAAUACAAAAUCUUGUCCUAAAUCACUAGGAUUCAAUAUUUUAUACUCCCUCCGUCUCCCUGAGUAGUAUACAUUGGGGGACGGGGACGCGGCACGGACUUUAAUGCUCCUGCAAAGUGUAGUUGUGCAAUCUAUUUUUAAAAUUUUUCUUUUCUGAAUUAAAGUUUGGAUGUUAUAUUUUUAUACAAAAAAAGAAAAUCUCAAAAAUAAGUUACGAAACUAUAUUUUAUAAGAGCAUUGAAAUGCGUGUCGAGCAGUUAAAAAGAAAUGUAUAGAAUUAAAUGGGACAGAGGGAGUAAUAUUUAUAAUGAAGACACUAAGACACUGCUGGAGAUGCUCUUAGAUGGUAAACAUGGAUAAUUCAUAGGGAAUAAAAAUGAUUUUUUCAUCACACUUUUCAAGUAUUUUAUAAAAAACAAAUCAAACAAUUUUAUAUACCCUGUCACCAAAGAAUUCUAUUCAGAAAAAUUCAGAGAUAAAGCUAGUAGCAUAUACAUAAAUAAAUACAUAUAUGCUACAUAUCUUUGUCACCUAAGAGAAUCUCCAACUCCAAAAACCCUUAGCUAAAAUUAUACAUGUGACAUCUAGGAGGCAUCUAGAUCACUAGAUAAUACUUAUAAAAAUUAUCUAAAAAUUAUACAACUCCAACCAUGUUUAGUUGACUAUAUUUGUCGAAUCAAAUAAGCCCCGGAAUAUAUUUUUAUACGAGCAAAUUUAUAAAUAAUCUUUUUGAAGCCUAUACAUGUUCUCAUAGCAAAAAAUUUACAUAAUCCAUAUACCCAUCAAUAUAACCAGAGAUUCUCUAACGAUACUUUCGAUGGAACUCGAUUCAGGAAUUGCAAUAGUAGGCUUCGAAAAUACACAAAAUCUUCAUACAAAUCAAAAAAAAAAAUGUAGUUUCCCAACGUCCAAAUGAACCAUUACGAGACGAGUAGCGUGAGAACAAUAUUUUAUAGCAUCACAAGUACAAAUACUUGCAAUUAAAUAAAAAAAAGGAAUUAGUCAAGCAAAUAAAGCACACAAAAGAAAUAUAGACUCGUCACCGUUGUCCAACAUCGAAUUCACUAACGUAAACACUUGUAAAAAUGGAUAUAAGCAUGUUUGUUUGUAAUAUAUAGCUGUUUUUAUGGUCUCCAAACUAAACAGACAGGGAGGAUAUAAAAGAAAAAACAGCACUCUAAAUGUUGCUUCAAGGGAACGAGUCGUUAAGAAACUGAUUUAAUUCUUCGACCAGAUAAAGAAGCCUUUGCUUGUGUCUUGUAUUUUUUAUAAAAGUUUUUUUACCUUGAUCUUUUUUAGUACAAAUUCGGAUCAAUAAUUUUUAUAUUAAAACAAAAAAGAAAUAACCUCACAUGUAUCAUAUCUUUAAAGAUAGACAGUAGUAUUAACUCCAAAUUUUCUUUCAUUUCUCAUUAAAGGCCACAUCUUCAAUAAGUACAUCUACAGUCAUCUUCUACAAUAAUUUUUGACGAAAGAAAAUAAUGUCCACGGAAUGGAUUCAUUAAUUUACAAGUUAUUGUAGUUUUAAAUGGUAUAUCCAUGAUUUUCGAAAUGACAUCGAAUUUAUAUACCAAUGGUUAUUUAUCACCUAUAAAUGGAUAAAAUAGGCCUCAUAAAACAGAUCUCAUUACAAAUUAAAGUGCCACAUUCAAAAAUUAUCUGUUCUCAAAAGAUUUAACUACAACAAUAUGAUUCUUCAAAAAAAAAAACACUAUAACAAUAUGAGAAAUUAUUACAUCCAGCAAAAAAUAUUCAAAAACAUUAGUAUUUGUUCAACUUCAAUAAGCAGGCAGCAACUUAAGGACUUGGUGAAUUAAGCAAGAACUUUCUAACACCAAUGUAGCAGUCAGUUUCAAAGUCACUCACAAAGAAGUAAAAAUUCAUAUAACAUAUAUAUAAUACAAUUCAAAAAAAAAAAAACAAUUAACAUAUUAACUGCAUUAGAAGGGCCUCAGAGAUCUUGGUGGAUAGAUAUCAUCAGAUGGAGUUUAAACUCCAUCAAGAGUAGCAAAUAUCUUUCUUACAUCACCAGCCCCAUUUUAAAUAUCAAAAAAAAUAUUCGAAAACAAUAAUUUGAAAAGGAGAGUCAGAAGUAGCUGGUUGGUAAACAUGGAUAAUUCAUAGGGAAUCCGAAUGAUUUUUUCAUCACACUCUCCAAAUAUUUUACACAAACACAAUUCAAACAAAUGUAUCUACCUUGUCACCAAAGAAUUCUAUUGAGAAUAAUUCGGAGCUAAAGGUAGAAGCACAUACAUAUAUAAAUACAUACAUACUACACAUCUCUAUCGCCUAACGAUAGAUCCCUUAAAUCCACCCGAGUUGGAAUUCGAUUCAGGAAUUGCAAUAUUAGGCUUCAAAUAUACAAAAAAAAAAAAAAAAUCAUACAAAUCAAAUACAAAAAUGUAGUUUCCCAACGUCCAAAUGAACCAUUACGAGACGCACCGGAUAGCGAGGGGAACAUUUAUUCUAGCUUCACAUGAACAAAUAUUUGCAAUUAAAUGAAAUAACAGCAAAUUAAUCAGGAAAGUAAAGCACACAGAAUAAAUCAAAAAAAAAAUAAAGGAGGAUAGAACAACUCAGUCCCUUAGAUGUUCAUUAAAAUUGCGAUCAUAUUCGCACAUCAUUACAGGUCUGUAUAGACUCAUCACCGUUGUCCAACCUCGAAUUCACUAACGUAAGAACUUGUAAGAACAGAUAUAAGCGUGUUUGUUUGUAUGUAUAUAGCUGUUUUGAUGAUCUCCAAACUAAACAGAGAGACAGGGAGAAUCGAAAGAAAAAAACAGCACGCUAAAUGUUGCUUCAAGGGAACGAGUCGGUAAGAAACUGAUUAAUUCUGCCGACCAGAUAAAGAAGCCUUUGGAAAACCAGAUCUGUGAAACAGAAGAUUAGUUACAUGAGAGAGAUAGCGGCGAGAAGAAUGAAAAUAUUAGAACCCUAACUGAGAUUGUAUUGUGCGGAUAGAUGUGAAUUCCAUGUGGCGAGAGGCUUUUGUUUAUAUAGACCAAGCCUGUCACACCUUGGGCUAGGUUACGGUCUUUUUUCUGGUCCAUUGGGUUUGUGGUGUCUCCAGGCCCAGUUUAAGAGAUUAAAGUUGUUUACCUCAUGGCUCAUGGGCCUGUCUACCUUCUUCAGAUAAAUACGCGAGAUAUUUAAUUGAUAUAAUUUAUAUCAAUAUAUUAUAUUUAAUUAAACUCUAACGCAUAAUAUUAUUUUAUGAAAAUUUUUACGCCAAAUUCAACACUAGUAUAAAAUUUUCACUUGAUUUUCAGAAGUCAGUUACGACUUACGACAGACAUGGGAACACCGAACUGCAGCACGUAUAUACGUGUCAAAUUCCAAUAGCCCGCAGCAGACACGUGGAAUUAGCUCUACUUGCGGCUGUUGUUUUUGUUAUGACUCAGCUACUGGUGCCUAAAUGAAUAUACCUUGAUUGGAAAACGACAACUUUUCAACAUAUGGGAUGUCCCAAGUUUUUGGAGCCUCGUUACUACUUUAAAUGGAAACCUCAACCAGAUGCAUGUACAAUUCUUAACUUGAACAACUUAAUCAUGUGCGGAAUUCUAGCAGUUUUGGGUUGCUCUGAUGAUUCUCAGGCCAAAAGGGCUCGUGUUCUUGAGCUCUCCCGCAGGUACUUUUCUACCCACAAUUCAUUAUUUUUUUCUAAUCUCUGAAGUUUUGUUAAAAAUCAGUAAAAAAUUGAUAUUCAGUGCUGUUCAACUCUUGGCUGAACUCCAAAAUUUGAAUAUGUAAUUUGCUGGACCAAUCUUGUUUUAGCCACUGUUUGUAUGAACAUAUGUGUACAAUCAUAUCACAUACUUCUUAAUUUGUGAACUAUUCAGUGUAGCUUGUAAAUUUAUUAGUUAGUAUAGAAGAGAGUCAGAGGCAAAUGUGGUUGAUGCUGAUUUUUAGCUUAUAAUCUUCAUGGAGCACAGACACAAUAAGUUGAUUUAUGUUGCAUAAUCAAACAGACUGAAGCACCGUGGCCCGGAUUGGAGUGGUCUUUACCAGUAUGGUGACUCUUACUUGUCUCAUCAAAGGCUGGCAGUUGUUGAUCCUGAUUCUGGUGAUCAGCCUCUCUACAAUGAAGAUGAAAAGAUUGUGGUCACCGUAAGUCUUUAAGUAAACCUGUUCAAGUAUUCAUUCUUCAUAAAAUUCAAUGUCUUUAUGUAUAUUAACGAAUGUGUUCUGUUUCUGAAACCAGGUGAAUGGAGAAAUAUACAACCACGAGGAACUACGAAAGAGUUUGCCUAAUCACAAAUUCAGAACGGGAAGCGAUUGUGAUGUUAUUGCUCAUCUUGUAAGUGGUGCCCCAAGGAAAUUCUAUAAUUAGAAGUGAAUGGUUGAAAAGAAUUAACAAACAACUCAUUUUGCUGGACAUGAAUAUAAAUCUUUUCCUCCUAAAUCGGAAUAAUCUUUUAAUUACACUUACCUCGGAUGAAAUUUCAGUUUGCAAUGAUUUAACUAAUUUAUGUUAAUGGAAUUUGCUUGCAUUAGUAUGAAGAGCAUGGUGAGAACUUUGUGGACAUGUUAGAUGGAGUGUUCUCCUUUGUGUUACUGGAUACCAGCGAUAAUAGCUUCCUUGCUGCUCGCGAUGCUAUUGGGAUCACUUCGCUAUAUAUUGGUUGGGGACUUGAUGGUAAUCUCUUCUGGUUAAGUUAAAAAUUUGAGAUAAUUGGAGAUGAAAAAUGAUACUUUAUAAAAAAAGAAGAAAAAUUAUACUUUGAAUUAGUUCUAUAAUAUGAUUUUAUUUCCUGUCUUUAGGAUCAAUAUGGAUUUCUUCUGAAAUGAAAGGCUUAAACGAUGACUGCGAACACUUUGAGGCCUUUCCGCCAGGACACUUGUAUUCUAGCAAGAGAGGAGGUCUUAAAAGAUGGUACAAUCCCACUUGGUUCUCUGAAGCAGUUCCAUCAGCUCCAUAUGAUCCAAUUGUUCUAAGAAAUGCAUUCGAAAAUGUGAGGCUCUUUUGUAUAAUUAUAUUACAAUCAUGAUAAUAUUGACGAGCAUAGGCUUACAAUGAUAACUAAUGUCAUGUAUACAAAUAUCUGCAGGCUGUGGUCAAAAGACUGAUGACUGAUGUACCAUUUGGAGUUUUGUUAUCUGGUGGUCUUGACUCAUCGUUAGUUGCUUCCAUUGCAGCUCGUCAUUUUGCAGGCACUAAAGCUGCCAAACUAUGUGAAACACAGCUUCAAUCCUUCUGUGUUGGCCUUGAGGUAUACCUGUUGCUUUAAUGACAGAUAACUGUAAAUUGUUUUAAAGUACUUUAGUCUUCCCUAUGCUUCACAUCAUUUAUGGGACAGGGAUCACCAGAUUUGAAGGCUGGAAAGGAAGUUGCUGAUUAUUUGGGAACUGCUCACCAUGAGUUUCAUUUCACUGUCCAGGUAUUUGACAAACCACUGUAUAUCAUGCUUAUUGCAUCUAGGUAUUAUUAUAAUUGACGAGGUCUAGUUUUAAUUAGUUCUUACUCGGCAGGAUGGCAUAGAUGCAAUUGAGGAUGUUAUUUAUCAUAUUGAAACUUAUGAUGUAACGACAAUUAGAGCCAGCACUCCUAUGUUUCUUAUGUCACGUAAAAUCAAGUCGCUAGGAGUGAAAAUGGUCAUUUCCGGUGAAGGUUCUGAUGAAAUUUUUGGGGGAUACUUGUACUUUCACAAAGCUCCCAACAAAGAAGAAUUUCACCGCGAGACAUGUCAGAAGGUAAUAGACUUGAUUAUUUUUAUUAUAUUUUAUUAUUAUAGAAACAGUUCUGUUUAAGAGUAUAAAUUCUCCACUGAAGAAAUUAUUGUUAUUGCAUUUUAAUAUGCAGAUAAAAGCCCUCCACCAAUAUGAUUGCUUGAGAGCAAACAAAGCAACAUCUGCUUGGGGUUUAGAAGCUCGGGUUCCGUUUCUGGAUAAGGAAUUCAUCAAUGUUGUAAUGAGUAUUGAUCCUGAGUGGAAGAUGGUAACGAACAACUUCCAUCCUGCUGUCUUGUUUUCAAUAACUAUUGCUUGCCAAAUUAGAGACUUCAUUGGCGAAAUAGAGAACUUCAGUUUAGAUAUGAAUGUGUCCUCAUAUUUCAGAUUAAGCCGGAGGAAAAACGAAUCGAGAAGUGGAUACUGAGGAAGGCCUUUGAUGAUGAAGAACAUUCUUAUUUGCCUAAGGUUUGAACAAAUGACUUGCCUUUGUUUACAUAACUAUCUGUUGAUCAGAGCAAGCUGUGAUGGAUGUAUUAUUGUGUUUCACAGCAUAUUCUAUAUAGGCAGAAAGAGCAGUUUAGUGAUGGUGUUGGCUACAGUUGGAUCGACGGCCUUAAAGCUCAUGCUGAACUACAUGUAUUGCAUCCUCUCUGAACUUAUUAAAUAUUUUCAUUAUUGGCAUCUGAAAUAAGCUCAUUCUGAAUACCAUUCAGGUCAGUGACAAAAUGAUGCUGAAUGCUCCUAAUAUCUUCCCGCACAAUACCCCUGCCACAAAGGAAGCAUAUUACUACAGAAUGAUUUUUGAGAGAUUCUUUCCACAGGUGAUUGAGAUUAGUUACAUUGUCAUAAAUAGUACAACGUUUCAAGUCAAUUAGAAGUUCUGGUAACCUAUUCGUCUAUGUAUUUAAUUUGUUGAAGCAGAAAUCAGCAAUAUUGACCGUCCCUGGUGGAGCAAGCAUAGCUUGCAGUACAGCAAGGGCUGUUGAGUGGGAUGCUUCAUGGUCAAGUAACCUUGAUCCGUCUGGUCGGGCUGCACUUGGGAUCCAUGAUUCAGCAUAUGAGACAAAAUUGUCAUCCACUGUGAACACUAAUUUGGCUACAAAGAUUGUUGACACUGUGCCUCAGAUGAUGGAACGAAGCUCAACCCAAGUCACGAUUCAAAGCUAGUUCUCCCAUUUCGGGGAAUCCACUUAUGUGAUAGAGUUGAUCUAUCUGCAUAGAAGUUGAAGCAAGUAUCUAAUAUAUGCAGCUAUGUGAACUAUGCAGGCGCCAUGCAGAGUGAAUAAACUACCUAUUUUUGGUAAUGCUCGUUCUAUAGGUAAGACUCUGGUGGUGCGCGCGUUAUUCUUCAAGCAGUAUGUUCUUUGUAAGUUGUGCAUCUUGUUCAAGCCUCACCUACAAAUCUUGGACCUUUGAUGUUUAUAUUUUCCUGUUGGAUCAAUCUAGUAUGUUUGGUGGUUCUAUCAGACUCUGGUCCUGUAAGUUGUAAUGGCAGUUUACACUUUGUUAGUGCCCAAGCCUGAAGCCUGGUUUGUAUCUUUACUGCUUUGCAUUAUUAUAUUCCUGAGAAAUAUCUUACAACUUGUGACAAUAGUGCAGUUGAUUACUCUCUAUAAAUUUUUGGUUCUUAUCUUAAACUCUCCCCACAUGAAAAAUGUUUAAUUUUAUUAAAAUACCGAAAGUGAUACUUCCAUAACAUGCAAAUGUUACUGCUUGCCAGUUGCAAGUCAUUUUCAUUGAUAGUCACUUAUAUUGACCAAGCCUCUGGCAUAAUAUAAACAAGACACGAGUCCGUGAACAACACAGCUUCUUAGAAGUUAUUUCUUUAGAUUAUGAAAAUAAUACAUCUCCAGAUUUCUUUUUCUUGGAGAAACAGAGUGAACAUUACAGCUAUAUAAACAGAUAUAUUUUUAUGUAAACAGCCUCUAUUUUAGAUCAUAUGAUAUUUAGAAAAAUUAAUGAGAAAACAUGACUAGAUACAAAUGGUAAUAUAGUGAGCUAAAUCAUUGAUAAAACAGUGCAGUAUAGAAGAGCUGAUUCCAAGUAUCAGGUAAUCCAGGGAGGCACCAGUGACUACAAUCAGCAGAAUGGUCAGGAUUGGCUCUCUGUUCCGGGCUCAAAUCGCCACUGUAAAUAGACGGAUGCGCGUCUUUACGCAUAGCAGAGAGCAUAGUUAUGUCAAGUAUAUAAGCUGGGUUACUCAUGUUCCUUAUCACUGCAUCAAGGACCUUCAUUUGGCCUGGAUACGCGCCUGGGUAAGCUGUGCCACUCAUUGGUGUUUUCUCACCGUAGCAACUUUUGGCCACUGAGGUUGCGCCUGCACUCCACUCUGACGGGCUGCAAAUUCAAUCAAAUCACGAUCAUUAUCUUGUAUAAAUGGCCGUUCUUACAAUCAGUUGUGAUCAAGGGACUAAGCUUAAACUCAAUCACGGUUAUGCAAACAACAAAAUGUUCAACAGAAAAUGCCUAGUAGAUCAAGUCAAUCUCAAUUAAAUGUAUAUAAAAAGAUAAAUUCGAAUCAAACUAGGUCAAUAAAAGAAAGGAUCGGAACAAAUGCAUUUGGGUGAAUAUUGUAUUGGCUGUACAAUUUAUUUGUCACUAUCAGGCAAGUUCACAUGUGAGUAUAUCACCGACGAAACAAGUGGUUAAAAAUAGGACUAAAUAACAGAGCAAAAAGAGCGGCUCCAUUUUCUUUUUCGAUGGAGACAGAUUUAACAGCAAGUGAUCACUGCCCCCAUAAUCUGUACAAUUAUACAUAUCAUCUCUGAUAUGCAAGGUCGACUUCAUAUUUUACUUUACUAUAUGAGGACAUAAAUCCAAAGACUUUGGUGAUGCCUCUCCAAAGUCCUAUUUAUUUUUCACUAGUAGGUGAUAAGUGAGUAUAACAUUAAGGGGGCGUAUUCAACUGGAAUUUCGGGUUUGAUCAUCGUAACUUUGCAUUAUCUUUAUUUAAGUUUCCCACCUAAUGGGAUUUGAAUUUAGAAAAGAUGGCGAACUGGAGACAGGCUGCAAUGUAGGGAAAGCAAUGAAUAAGGAAAGUUAUGGACUAGUCAGUUGAGAAAGUGGAUUAGGUAAUAAUCAUAGGCCCGGCCAUUGGCAAGUUGCAUUCUAAUUAGUGAUUACAGCUACGAUGUUGGACCCUGCAAUCCCCAGUUGGUCCUUUUUGUUUUUUAUCUCCUUGUCUGUGUGUUGUGUAGGGAUGACAAUCCUGAUCCGAGCUAGACCCCUUUAUCAAGAGUAACAAAAUCCGAAAAUGACGCGAAGAUAACUUGAGUAGUAACGGAAUGACACAUUUAUGUAAUAAUUAUUACUUCGAACUAAUAGCACAAGUUCAUCAUCAAGUUUAAAAAUAUCAGAAGAACGAGAAUUUAACACAUUUACGACCAAGAACACGACCUGAAAGUUAAAACUGACGCAUCUAAGUUUAUGUGCGUUAUAUGCAGGAUUU
rnacentral:lncRNA from 1 species